rnacentral:lncRNA from 1 species
GGCAUGGAUGUUAUAGGACCAAUUUCCCUAAAAGCUUCUAAUGGACAUCGGUUUAUUUUUGUGGUUAUUGAUUACUUCACAAAAUGGAUAGAAGCUGUUUCGUUUGCCAAUGUGACAAAGACUGCAGUUUGCAGAUUUUUGAAAAAAGAAAUCAUUUGUCGAUAUGGUUUGCCUGAGAGAAUCAUUUCAGAUAACGCCUUGAAUCUGAACAACAAAAUGAUGAAGGAAGUGUGUGAGCAGUUUCAAAUAAAGCAUCAUAACUCGUCACCCUAUCAUCCGAAAAUGAACAGAGCUGUUGAAGCAGUCAAUAAGAAUAUUAAGAAGAUUAUUGGGAAAAUGACUAAGAUAUAUAAAGAUUGGCACGAGAAGCUACCAUUUGCUUUGUAUGCAUAUCACACAUCUGUACGGACAUCUACGGGGGCAACUCCUUUCUCUCUGGUCUAUGGAAUAGAAACUGUGCUACCUAUCGAAGUUGAGAUUCCCUCUUUACGAGUCUUAAUGGAUUCGAAACUAGAGGAGGCAGAAUGGGUUCGAGCUCGAUAUGACCAGUUAAACCUCAUCGAAGAAAAACGUUUAAAGGCAAUUUGUCACGGACAGAUGUACCAGAAGAGAAUGAUCACAGCCCAUGACAAGAAAAUACGGCCAAGAGAAUUCCACUAAGGAGAACUCGUGCUGAGAAAGAUUCUUCCAAUACAGAAGGACUUACGAGGAAAAUGGGCACCAAAUUGGGAAGGACCAUAUGUCGUAAAGAAGGCAUUCUCGGGCGGAGCUUUGAUUCUCACUGAGAUGGAUGGGAAGGAGUUACUGAAUCCAGUGAAUUCAGAUGCUAUGAAGAAAUAUUAUGCUUAAAAAAAGGAAAAUCAAGAUGAAAACCCGAAAAAGGGCAUCUUAAAAAACAAGAGAAAAGAAAAAAGAAAAAGAGAGAGGGAUCAAGGUGAAAACCCGAAAAGGGCAUCUUGAUUAACACAAAAGAUUAGGAUGAAAACCCUAAAGGGCGUUCUAAUGAAGCAAGCACUGGCUUAAAAAGCAAGGCGUUUUGAACGGUGGGUCAAACAGAGAGACUACAGUAUUUGAAGCAUUUUUGAAAACUCGAAAUCUCUUACGCAAGAAAGCCAUGCUCGAAAAGAUUUUUGAUUGAAGAACGUGGAAGAGUUCAUGCGUUGAAUAUCUAGAGCAUUUGUAUUUGUUGAAAUGCGAUCCCCUUUCUCUUUAUGACACUUUUUUUUUACUAUCAUUGAUUAACUUUCUUUGUUUGCUACAUUUGAAAUGAAUAAAUGUGAGGUAUCCUUUUGUCCCUACCUGACCAUUUUCAUGCAUCUCAUUAUGUGGUUCAUUUACAUGAUAAAUAGUGAAAUGACAUACUCUAAACAAAAGAAGUGCUAAGCAUUACCUGGAUAAGAAUUUGAUAAGUACAAGAGCCUCAAAGCAAGGACAAAGUUCAACCAGGGGCAAAAGAGCGAUAUCUGAGAAACGCAGAUUAGUCGUGAAGCUAGAGGAUGGGUACAGGGCCUGAAGAGAAAGUCAAGAGUCAAAGCAAUGAACGCAGAUCAUCAAAAAUCAUGACAGAAAGGGACAUAUGACAAGCAAGCCCAAGGCACAUAGCAUGAUCAUGCAGGCAUAAAGGCAUUUAAGGCAAACAUGUGCAUUUCAUGAUAACAUCAUGCAUGACAUAUACAUAUAUUUCAGCAGAACAAGAGAUUUCGAUGAUAGCUGUACUGAAUCAAAGGAAAGGACACCUGAGUUCCACCAGAUGACAUCUUUUGGUAUUUUGAUGUUUUUAUUUCUAUUUUUCAAAAAAAUCAACUCAUAUUGCGAGAGGUGAGUUGGGCCUCAGGUCACACGCUGAGGUAUUUUCAAUUUCUGUUUUUUCAAUUUAUGCUUUUCAAAAAUCAACUCAUAUUGCGAGAGGUGAGCUGAGCCUCGGGGCACGCUGAGGUAUUUUUAAUUUCUAUUUUUCAAUUUCUGCUUUUAAUUUCUGUUUUUCAAUUUCUGCUUUUAAUUUCUGUUUUUCAAAAAUCAACUCAUAUUGCGAGAGGUGAGUUGAGCCUCAGGGCAUGCUGAGGUAUUUUCAAUUUCUGUUUUUCAAUUUUUGCCUUACAAAUUCUGCUUUUCAAAUCAACUCAUAUUGUGAGAGGUGAGUUGAGCCUCAGGACACGCUGAGGUAUUUUCAAUUUUCAUUUUUUUAAUUUAUGUUUCUAAAAAAAUCAACUCAUAUUGCGAGAAAUGAGUUGAGCUUUAGGACACGCUGAGGUAAUUUCAAUUUUUGUUUGUCAAAACUCAACUCAAUUGCAAGAGGUGAGUUGAGCCUCAAGGUAUUUUCAAUUUCUGUUUUUCAAAAAAAAUCAACUCAUAUUGCGAUAGGUGAGUUGAGCCUCAAGACACGCUGAGGUAAUUUCAAUUUUUGUUUGUCAAAAAUCAACUCAUAUUGCGAGAGGUGAGUUGAGCCUCAAGACACGUUGAGGUAUUUUCAAUUUCUGUCUUUAAAAAAAAUUAGCUCAUAUUGCGAGAGGUGAGUUGAACCUCAAGACACGUUGAGGUAUUUUCAAUUUCUGUUUUUCAAAAAAAAUGAACUCAUAUUGCGAUAGGUGAGUUGAACCUCAAGACGCUGAGGUAAUUUCAAUUUUUGUUUGUCAAAAAUCAACUCAUAUUGCGAGAGAUGAGUUGAGCCUCAAGACACGUUGAUGUAUUUUCAAUUUCUAUCUUUCAAAAAAAAUCAGCUCAUAUUGCGAGAGGUGAGUUGAACCUCAAGACGCUGAGGUGUUUUCCAUUUCUGUUCUUCAAUUUUUGUGUUUCAAAAAAAUCAGCUCAUAUUGCGAGUGGUGAGUUGAGCCUUGACUCACACGCUGAGGUAUUUUCAAAUUCUGUUUUUCAAAUUUUGUUUUUCCAAAAAAUCAACUCAUAUUCCGAGAUGUGAGUUCAGCCUCAGAACACGCUGAGAUAUUUUCAAUUUCUUUUUUUUUCAAUUUAUGUUUGUCAAAAAAAUCAACUCAUAUUGCGAGAGGUGAGUUGAGCCUCAGGUCACACGCCGAUGUAUUUUCAAUUGAUUUUUUUUAAUUUAUGCUUUGCAAAAAUCAACUCAUAUUACGAGAGGUGAGUUGAGCCUCGGGUCACAUACCGAGGUAUUUUCAAAAUCUAUUUUACAAAUUUUGUUUUAAAAAUCAACUCAUAUUGCGAGAAGUGAGUUGAGCCUUGGCUCACGUGCUGAGCUAUUUUCAAUUUCUGUUUUUAAUGUCUAGUUUUAAAGAGUCAAUUCAUAUUGCGAGAAAUGAGUUAAGCUCAGGAUCACAUGCCGAGUAAAGAAUAAAGACUGGAAUUAAUCGAAGACAGAUUUUAUAUCCCUGAAGUUACAGUGAACCUAAUUGAAGUUGCAGUGGAGCUGAUCGAUGAUAUCAGAUCUUACCUUUCUAAAAGUUGCAGAAGAGAAGACCACAAAUUUUAUCUAACUAAAGCGAUGGAAGAGCAGAUUGAAGCUGUAGAUCUUAUCUUUUUAAAGUCACCUUGGAGUAAAUCGAAGCUACAAGGCAUAUAUCAGAAGAUACAGUGGAUUUGAUCAAGACAACAAGAUACAGUGGUUUGGAAAGAGACUACCUGGAUAAGAAGAGCACCAAAGAAUUCCAUACUUAGUAAGACCGGGCAAAAUUGGCCUUUUUUUGUGUCUUUUCUUUAUUCCCGUUCCACGAUAAUAAGCAAAGAGGGGCAGCUGUUGUAGGCCAAUUUUAACCCAUUUACAUCAAAACCCAAUUUAACCUUACCUAACCCACCAAAAUUAAACCCAAAACCCAAAAUCUUAACUAUCCAAAGCUCAAUUUACAUCAAAACCCCAAUGGCCCAAACCCUAAGCCCAAAUCAAAAUAAAAAAACCCUAGCCCACAACCUAAACUUUUCUCAACUAAAUCCUAGCCUUUGCCACCACCAACUCCACUAGCCACACUUGCUCCACCACCACUUGCUCCACCACCUACUCCAUUAGCCACACUUGCUCCACCACCACUUGUACCUACAAAUGAAGACAUAAAUAAUAAAAAAUAUUUUGUAAAUGGCUAUAUAAGCCUUCUCAUAUUUUGUAUUUAAAGGAAGAGGAAGAAGUUUUGGGGGGAGAAAGUUAUUGUAAAGGAUUUUUGAGAGGUUUUUUUAGAGUAAUCAAGGAGAAGAGUUAUUGUAAAGGCUAGUUUUUGGAGUGGCUAGUUUUUUUUUGGAGAUUAAUCAAAUAUCAAAGCAAAAGAGGUUUCUUGGUCUAUUCUCGUUUCAAGUUCUUUGUUUGCUUAUUGUUUUCCUUUCAGUUUUAUUUUGUUUCUUUUAUACGAAAAUAAAAAUAAAAGGAGGAAGCUUUCCCAUUUUUACCGAAAAAGUUUUUUUUGAGGUCUGGCUGCCAUGUACAGUGGCACCGACGGUGGCCGGCAGCGGUCCGGUGACCGGAUGGUGGCCGGCCUUGUGGCCGGAAAUCACCCACUCUCUCCUUCUCUUUUUUUUUGUUAUUAUUAUAUUUCUUAAUAUUAUAUUAUGUAUAUAUUAUUUUAAUAUAUUAGGUAUAUUCUAAAUUCUAUAUUACGUAUAUAUAUUAUACUAUUUUAUGUACAUAUCUUUAAUACUAUAUUAUUUAUAUAUAUAUAUUUUUUCUACAUGUUAUCUUAUGUAUAUAUUUUAAUUAUAUUAUGUAUGUAUUUUUUUACACUAUAUUAUGUACAUAUUUUUUUUUAUAUCUAUUUUAUACAUAUGUAUAUAUCAUAUAUAUCUUAACAUUACUAGUUAUAUUUUCACUAUUUUAUGUAUAUACUUCAAACACUAUAUAUAGUAUAUUUCUAACACUAUAUACUAUUUAUAAAUAUAUAUAUAUUUUACGUACAUACUCUUAAUAUCUUUAUUAUGUAUAUAUUCGUUGUUUUUAUUUCACAUUGGAUACUAUUAUUACGUUUAAUAUAUCGCAUGCAUUGUUAUUGUUUUAAUAUUGUUGUCAUAUUUAUUAUUAGUUUCAAUGUAUUUCCAACUCGUUUAUUUUUGUCUCCCGCCUAUUUUAUAUCAUUCUGUUGUUCAUUACUUUAAAGAUUUUUAUUCAUGUUUUUUCUAAUUUCAAUAAAUAAGGCAAUGUUUCGCAUUUUGGAACAUCGAAGAAUUGUGCCCUAACUUACGGGGUUUCGGUUUUCUUGUUGGUUCUAAAUAGCUAAAUAUCCUUUUGAGUUUUGAAAUGUACGGAUUUCCAAUUUAAAUUAAAAGACGACCUUGUGCUCGGGAAUUCAUGGUAUUGUGUCCUAACUUACGGGAUGUGAUACUCCGAUAUCUCGAGAUAAGGAAAUCUUUAAACCAAUCGAUUUAAGCUAAUUCAAGAAUUUUAAAAUCAGUAUUAAUAGAAAAGAUCGUAUUUCAAGUCCCUUCCCGAUUUUUAAUUUUCGACAUUAAUACACUAACUAAUCAAUUCGGUACCAAUUUUUGGGGUGUGUCGAGGGUGCUAAUCCUUCCUCGCACGUAACCGACUCCCGAACUCAUUCUCUCAAGUUUCGUAGACCAAAGGCCCUGUUUUAGUAAACUAAAAUUGAUUUAUUAAAAUAAAGGUGAUCCGAUCACACCUGAUAAAAGAUUGGUGGCGACUCCCAUUUUAAUUUUCACUUUCAAACAAAGUCGAUCCCCGUUUUCAAAAGAAUGGUUUCGACACAACUUAUUCGAAAACAAUAUUAAAUCUUCAACAACCCUCAACUUUUUUUUAGUUGAAAAGGGAAUAUCAAUACAUUAAUAAAAACUAGUUAAUAGUUCGAUACAAACCAACCCCAUUGUCAUCAAUUAAGAACAACGGGAUUAAAGUAGGAGAGUUGCAAAUGCAUAAAAAAAACAUUCGAGGGAGGCACAAGUUGAAAAUCCCUCCCAAGCGUGUCAGUACACAUGCUUCCGUUUCUCAAGCUAUGUUUGAUAGUCCUAGAAGUCAUAGUAUUCAUCAAUUAAAUGAGACGAAACUAAAUUUAGUAGAGGCAAUGAUAGACGUGAAGUAUAUGAAAGAGGUUGCAUCCACCUCAAGUGCAAUUUUAAGAUAAUGAGGUGAGAAAUCCUUAGUUGAGGAAAGCGAAAAUAAUGAAAGUAGGUAAUUGAAUUAAAUCACUAUAAAUUCGUCAUUGUUAAGCUUUCAUUUUCAUUUUUUUUUUACACCAAUCACUCCUUCUUAGUGUUCAAUACCUUCAUAAAAUCCAGUCUAAGGUAACAUUUAGAUCCAAUAAUGCAACUGUCAACAAUGAAAUGCUAAAUAAGCUUUCGAGUAUUAUAGUGAAAGCAAAAAGGUGUUUAUGGUAGUGAUUGGCUAUUGAGAACCUUUUUUCAAUUGGAUUAUGUUUAUGUCAAUGUUAUGAAGUUGGAUGGUUGCUACUUCUUAAUCGAAUUUGAAAGCCUUAACACAUUGGCAUCCUUUAGAAUGAUAUUGUGGUUGGCUCAAUGAAUGGUUAUCCGAUGUAGAGGUUUGGUUAAGAGGUUCCAAUCCAGCUACGAGACUUGUGUAGAUUUGUUGCUAUGAUAUUUCCCUUCAAGCUUUGGAAUAUGAACACUUUUCAUAAUAUUGCAAGUAUUUGGGAAUCUUUUAUUCAAGUUUAUAAUAAUACAACAAUGAGGUUGUCAAACCUUAGUAAAGGGUUCUUGUUUACUGAAACUAAACAUAUGAAGAAAAGUUUAUUUUAGUUUCAUGCGCUAGGGAGGAUUAUUCAAUUCGGGUGGAGAAGGAGGAGUUUGAUCAACGUUUGCUCAAUCCUUGCUCUGUGAUUAUGAUCACGUAAGGGGUAGUGGUAUAGGCUAUCAUAUUUUAGCUAAUGAUAUGGAAAAGGAUAUUUUGGUGGCUCCUAUGGAUCAUGUUGAAGAAACUGAGUUUUGAUAAUACCCACAUAAUGGCGAUUGAUGAUAUGGACGACGUUACAUGUACGAAAUAGCUCAGAGCUGAUGAAGUGUAUUGAGGGUGGAAAUAGCUCAGGUUUUUUAAUGGAUACAGUUUUGGAGUCUAAAGCGAAAAACGUUAUUGCUACAGGUUGAGAUGGGACCCCUAAUUGAUAAUAUGGUUAGCCAAACUGAAGCCGUGAUACGCAGGAAAGUCAUUGGGUAAAAGGAAGUUUAGGGAGGUUGGUGAGAUCAAAGGAAAAAGGUUUUAUAGUAGUCAUGAAGAUUGGUCCACAUUACUUAAAGAUUUUGCUAGAAAAAAAAAAGGAAAGAGAACUAGGAAAUUGAGAAAAAUUGAACAGAAAGGCAAGGCAAAUACAAAGGGCUUAUGUAAUUGGAAGGAGAUGUCACCAUUGCGUUUUGGAAGGAGAUGUCAUCAAGGAUGAAGAAGAAACAUGAGCUCUCGGGGAAAAAGAAGUCUCAAUGUAAUUGGAAGGGAAGAAAAUGUUGUUGUGAAUUGACAAACAUUAAACUAAGAAGGAGAGGUUUAUAGAAUUGAAGUGGAUUUGCGACGAUAGAAGCUUCAUGUUUUGUACAAAGAAUUGUGGGUGCUUUUUGUGAUAUAUGUUUGCUACUGUGUUUUGGAGAUUUUUGGUUAUUUGUAAUUUGGUGUCUAUUGUAUUGUGGUGUUCUUUUAGUUUCAUUUGUGUCAUUAAGAUGUGGAUUAAUAGUGCUUAUUUCUGUGUUUUUUCUCACCUUUGGUUAGUUCUAUCGUUUUGGGUUUUAAUAAUUUUUCUUUUGACUGAGGAAAAAAGAAGUCAAUCCAGUUGCUCAAGUUUAUGGAUGACAUUUGAGAAUUUUCUUUUUUGCUUUUCAAUCCUUUUUUCUCCCAAAUGCCGUCAUUUUUUUUAAUGUAAUCAUGUGUUUUAUUUUAAACAUAUCAACAUUCGUAUCAUUUUGUUUCACCCUUUUAAAUACAAGUAUUAUAUAGACUUGAGUGACGACUUUAUUUGAAUAUAUUUGAAAACAUUUGAUCAUGUUUGAGCAUCUAGUACAUUUAGUUCCCAGUUCUCAACUAAACCACACAAAACUAAAGUCGCUAUGUUUGGCUCGGAUGCUCGUAUAAUGCCCAAGCCAAAUGCCAAAAGCUGGCAGUUGUUUUCAAACUCCAUAUCUUUUAGUGGAUAAAAGGAGUUUGUUAAUCACUAACAGUGGUAGAAACUAGAGAAGAAUUACACACUGAUAUCAAUGGAGCACGUUAAAUCGACGCUACUCAUUCCCACAGACAAUCUGUCCUGUCUUCCAAAGCCACCACAACACCGUCCCUAUUCCCUAAAACUUCCUUUUUCCUGCACAAAGGCUCUUUCACAACAUCAGCGCUCAUAGUUGUUAAACAAAACUCAUUUGUUGUAUCAGUGUUUCACUUCUUUCCUAUACCCUCAUUUUCAAAGCUUCACAAAAGCCACUCGAAAAUACCUCGUUCCAAGAAUAGAAAAACAACUCCAGAACCAACCUCCACACAAGUAACACAAAACAAAGCCUAGAUUUAUAUAAAUCUUAUUAUGGAUAUCUUAUACUUUCUAUCAUGACCACCAACUUGAUUAAAAUAACAUCGACUUCCCAAUUUGCCCAUAGUCCCAAACUUCCACAAUAUAUUUAAAACACAAAACAAUGAAAUAAAAUUCACGGCACAAGUGUAAUAAACAUAUUAUAUUCAUUAAUAAAAUUAUGACACAUUUAAUCUGUGUUUAUACACAUACCAUAAACCCAAAAAUAAAAGACUGCAUGGUCAAAUUUCCUUUUGAUUCAGAACUAGUAAGUUUAACGUAAAUAUUGUUAUUAAACAUAUUUAUAGAGUUACACAUGUAAUUUCAAUCUAAAGGAAAAUAGAAAUUAAUUAUGAAUAAAUGAAAAAUAUAUCAAUAAGUGAUUAAAUUGUAAGAAUUCAAUUGAUAUUAGGAACAGUUGCAUUUUCAAUAAAUAGAGCAUAAAAUAGUGAGCAAAAGAACUGGGGCUUCUGAGUAGAUUUGGUAAUAUUAGACAUCUAAAGAAACCCAAAUCUGGAUACAUGAAUGCUUAAAAAUCUAUCUUACAUGAAUUAGUAAAAUAUCAUAAUUUAUAUAAAUAUAAAAUAACUUCAACACAGAUUGUAACAUGAUAAAAUACAUGAACAUGAUACGAGUACACAGAAGGUCUAAGUCAAAUACUUCAGAGCAAUGGAUAAAUAGUUGGUAGAGUUUUGCUCAGCAUCAAACUAAAGAAUAUUAUACGUUUUGACAUCUGCAUGAUCGACGAGAACAUGAUUAAUAAUCAAGAAGCAGGCAACUAACCUACGACCCAAAAUUCUGCUGAGCUGAACACGCCACUUCCCCAAUGCCAGCCUUUCACCGCGAGCAAAAACAGUCAGAUAUUUAUCUACAACAUCAAGUCAGGAGCUUUAACUUUGCAGGUGUGCACCAACAAUUCCAGCAUCUUUCACUAGCUGCUCUGACAAAGCUGAAAGCCUGGCUACUCCUGUUUUAACCUCGGUGAAACUUUCAUCGUUUUUCAUCAUGCUAAUCAUUGGAUUAGAACCACUUUGCAGGAAGAUACUGGUAUCAGAAUCAGCCUCAAUACUAGUGCUAGCUUUAAUCAAAAGUUCAUGGCUCAUUUCAGCCAGUUUUUGAAGAGCACUUGUGGCAGCUUCAACUUCCAGUUGAGCUGCCUCGAGCUGCAGCUUCUCAAUGGCCAAAUCACCUAUACUUUUCUCCCCAAUUCUCUCUUGUGCCAAAGCAUAAAGCUUCUUCAUAUCAUUAGCAUCUUCAGUCAUUUCUUCCUUCAGCCUUUGUAGUUCUUUUUCUCUUGCCUCCAACCUUCCAAGAACCAUUUUGAGCUCUUCAUCUUUUAUUGCAAGAGCCCUCUGUGCAGCAAGAACUUCCAUUUCUUUAUCUUUUAAGCUCUCUUUAGUGAAUCUGAGUUCAGUUUCAAGUUGUUUUUUCUGCAAUCCAAAAUCACUAAAAGGCCUAUCUACCAGCUGAUGCAUUAAUUCGCUGCUCACAUCAUCAACAGGCCUCAACACAUUAUUGUCUUCAUCCUUAACUGAGAUAACUAGUCGGUUUGUGAGUUCUGCAAUUCGUUCUAUGACAGUUUCAGCUUCAGAGAACUUCAUCUUUGUGUCAUUCAACUCAUCUUGUACUUUCAGAGCAUAUUCAUCUUUCUCCUUUAAUAAAGCAGUAGCUUGAAUGAGCUGAUUUUCUUUACUGCUCAUAAGCAUCUUCAGCUCUGCAAUCUCUUGGUUUAAUUGCUCUAAAUUCUUUUUGGCAUCAGAGAGUUCCUGGUCUUUCUCCUCCAAUAUAAGCUGAAGAGAAGCUCUCUCAGAUUUCAGAUGCUGGAUUUCGAGUUUAGCCUCCACCAGCUCUACUUCUUUAUUUUGCAGAACAUUGCUCAUUUCAACUAAUUCAGUAUGCUUCUUCCCUAACUGCUUUCGAAGAAAAGAGGCAUCCUGGAUAGCCAGCUGAAGUGAAUAUUUCUCUUUCUUCAGCUCCUCUUGUAACUCUUUUAUUAGUUCCCUCUCUACAGAUAAAUCCCGUUCAAGAUCCUUGUUUCGAGCCUCUACAACCCUAAGCUUCACUCUUUCACUCUCUACUUCUAUCUGGGCAUUUUUCAAACUUUCCAUGUAGGAUGCAACACUUUUCCUCUGUUCUUCAAGCUCAUCGAGUUGCAUUUUCAAUAACUGUUCUUGCUGUUCCAUUUGCUGUCUUGAGGAUGCCAGAGAUUUCUGAGAAGAAACCAACUCAGACCUAACAUCAGAAAGUAGCUGCUUCACUCUUGUGAAAUCUUUGAAGGUCUCAUUAGCUUCUCCCAUGUGUCUAGAUGCUUGUUCUGCAAGUUUCUUCAGUUCUUCUUGGGCUAAUAACCACUCCAUGGUCUGCUGCUGCAAUUUAGCUUCAGCAACUUUCAGCUUCUCCUCUUCAAGUUUCCUUUGAGUCAGAGAAGUUUCUAACUCCUCUUCUCUCUCCCAAAUUGCUUCUCGGAGUUCUUGAAGCUCAAUUUCUUGUUUCUUCAUAACUUCAUUGGCUUCAUUCAGGAGCUGAGACUUCGAUGUAAGUUCAGAACGAAUCUUCUCAGCUUCCUCAGUCUUCUUUACCAAUUCAUGCCUCAUUUUAUCCAUUUCAUCUUCUUUAGCAGACAGUGCAGAUUGUGCAGCAGCGACCUUCUGGUCUUGUUCUUUGAGUUGAAGCUUCAAAUCUUCUAUCUGACUAGCUUGAGAAGCAAAUGCAAGAUUUGCCUGCGUUAGCUUCUCUUCCAGCUUUUCAUGCUUAGAAGAUGCAGCAGCAAUUUCUUUCUCUCGUUGUUCCAACUCAUCCUUCGCACGGCUUAACUCACUUUGCUCCAACACAACCAUUUUCUCCGCAUCCUGUAGAUCAUCUUCCUUCUGCUUCAACGCUGUCAAAGCAGCAAGCAGAUCAGACUCAAGAGUCUGAAGGUCCAGAGCAAGGUGAAAAUCCUGAAGUGGUUCACCAUCUCGGCUUAUUCCUUGUUCGAGUUUCUGGGUCUGCGCAAACAAUCUCUCAAGAAGAACUUUUGCAGAUUCAGCUGCCCCAUUGUCAUUGAUGCUUGACUUACUGUUAUUCAAGACAGAUUCGACAAUAAGAAGAGAAUGGCCUUUCCCUCUUGUUAGUGCCACAAAAGGUAGCGUUUUCUGUUUCCAACUGUGCCUCAGAGUAGAUAACUGCACAAGAUAUUGCUCAACCAUAAAUAACUAGUACACUUGUAGAAAAGUAAUCUGGGAUAAGUUCUAAAACAUCUCAAUCAGAACCCCAAUAAUUUACAUGAUAUAUCCAAAUAUGAAUUAGAUAACAAUUUAUUGGAUAAUAUUUAUGUAUAAAUAAAACAAAUUCGGAUAAUAGAUUCGAAUAUGCAGUACUUUCAAAUCAAACGGCAGGAGGUUUGGUAUAUGUUGAUGUGUGAAACAUCACAUAAAUCGAGUAUUGUUCUUUUGGGUGUCGUUGGACUGAAGUGCCGUACAUCCUCAAAGUUUUGUCAUUGACUCUGAAGAGAGUUUGGGGCACUUGAACCCACGACCUGUCCAAAUGGUACCAUCUUUGCACUCAUUAUCACUUCUAUAUCUUAGAGGUCAUAGGUUCAAAGCCCCAAUGGACAAAGCUCUUUAGCAGCUAUGGUUUGGCCUAUUCAGGCAUCAAGAAGAAGCACCGCUCUUCAGUGCUCACUCCCAUUUGGUAUGAUGUUUCGCACAUCAACAGUAUCAAAUAUCCAAGGGUUACUAUCCAUAUAGGCUACAAAUAGUAAAUCUAAUAUCCUAAUCCAAAAAUUAUCAGAAUCCAAAAGUUACAAAUCCAACAAAUGAUGUUCAUAAAUCCAGUUUUUACUAGCCAGUUUCCAUUUGGUCAACUCACCGACUUUACUAAGUACUUGCUAAAGAUUUUUCAUUAUCUCUAGCAAAAAAAAAGCAUGAAUUAAGCUUGGAAAGAAUUAAAACAGUGGAUUCAGGGAUCCUAACUAAAAAUAAACAUAAAAGUUAGCAUGUAGAUUCCAGAAGAAACAAACUAUUUGGGCUGAAAUAAAUCCAAGCAAAGAAAAAGGGAAAAGAAAUGCAGAGACAGAGAAAACACCUGGCGAAAACGAAGAGGAGAAGCAGCUGGAAGAUUAGGGCGAAAAGCAGCAGCGAAGCCCAUGUUUUUUAGCUCUUGAGCACACUUCAACAAAAGCCCACCCUUUAAUCCCUUUAUUGAAUAAAUAUUGACCUUCGAUUUUGAACAUCGAUUAAAAAAAAAAUCCUACGAAGUUUUGAGCUCGAAUGAAAUGUAACUUGAAAAUGGAGCAAGGGAUUAGAAAUUGAAAAGCAAAACAAAAAGGAAGACAAAAAUUUGCUCCAGCAGAGAAAGAAUCGCGAUUCGACGCCACUCGCCAAAGCCGAGUGAAAAUGAAAUUUUGGGAUUCGGAUAAUGAAUGCCUACGUGCUAGGUGGGGGUGCAAUCCCCUGCUUUUGAUACCACGAGUUAUAUAUGCCAUGGAGUUGUUUUAGUGGCUGGAGAAUUCUGAGGAGGUGCCACGUGUGAUAUAUUUGACCAGGGGAUGUAUAAGACAAUAGAAAUAGAAUACGUUGUUUUAUUAUCUUAAUCGAAUAGAUUCAACUGAAAACUGAUUGGUUCACUCCUAUACUCCAAACUUAGAUUUUUUUUUAAAAAUAAUAACUUUGCUAUAUAUUUUUAAUCUUAAUUCUAUCUUUUAAAAAUAAAUUUUAUAUGUGUAAUUACAAAAAAUUAAAAUUUAUAUAAUUUUUAUAUUUAUCCAAAUAAAACUUUUGCACAAUUUUUUUAAAAAAUAAUAAAAAGGGUAUAGCACAAUAAUCUUGCAUACAAAUUGGUUGGGGCAGUGGGAAUGUGGCAAAUUGUUGGCCAUAAACUGCAAAGGUGUUGAGUGAUGUUUACACUUUAGUUUGUUGAAAGGCAGCUCUUUUUCAAAUUUAUGUGAAUCACGUUAUGCCACUAAUUACUUGAGGGAGAAAAAGUGGUGUCCACACUCUUGGAACCCACCUAGAUAUUUAAACACGAGGGGUGGAAGAAAGAAAAUGAAUGAAAAGUUUGAGGAAAAUUAAAAUCAAUUUGUAUCCAAGAAUUUUCGGAAUAAAUUUCCAUCUCAAAAUUAUUUAUAUUUUUGUAAUUAUAUAUAUAUGAAAUUUUAUUUCAUUUUCAUUUUCUAGUACUAUUAACAUUAUUAUUAAUGUGACACUUUUGUAUCUUUCAUGUAUAUAUGUGCAGAAUUUUUUGUUGUCCCUCUUAAUAGUAUAAUCUUUAAAUUUCGAAUUUACAUUUUUCUUACUAGUGUAAUGUGACAUCAUUUUAAGUAUAUUUAUAUUUAUUCAAGCUGAAAAUAACUAGAUUAAAUUAUUUUAUAAAUAUGCAUAAUUGAAUCAAAUUCAAUAAAUUGAUGAGAUGCUCACUAUUGCAGGCAUUACAUCUAACCCGACUGGUUUCAACAAGAAGAUGGUUGACGACCUCACUUUUUCCAUUGACUCACACAACUGCAUUAUUACAAAGCUUAAAGUUGAGAUCAAGGUGAUUCAACUGAUCAAAGAUCAUCAGAUUACCUUGCAUAAUGAUAUACAAGCUCUCCCAAAGCACCAGUAAUUUGUAUACCUAAUUUAACCAAAAAGGGGAGUAUAUAUAUUUAGAAGGCAUUGUUUUUGUUGUUUUUAUUUUCUUCUUUAGUCUCUAUUUUUAUUUUGAACUCUUGUAAUCAUGAAAUUUUAAACUUUUAUGCAUUUAUGAUUGUUUUUGAAUUCUUUUGAUAUUGUGAUUAUCCUCAGUUUUUUUACUUUUUUGCUAAUGUAUCCCUGAUUGUUUACGAAUUCUUUCAAUAUUGUAGUUAAUAUCGGUUUUUCUUUCUAGAUUUGUAGGCAAUGAAAUAUGUACAUUAAUGGCUAUGUAUCCCGAUAAGUAUUUUUCUUCAAAAAAAAAAGUACAUGGAUGGAGAUUAAUUAAUUCACUUUUACGUAAGGAUCAAGCGGUUGGUACAUUAAUUUUACUAUAUUUCAAUUUAUCUCACAAGAGUGAAAAACUAAAAAUGAAAUGACAAAAAAAAAAGUGAUAAAAGUGAAAAAAGGUAUAUAUGAAAUAGGUAGUAUUUUUUAAAAUAAAAUAACUGUAAAGUUUAAAGAUAAUUAUUAGGACGAUUUAAAAGUUGAUAUUAAAUAACAUAUAUACCCAGAUUUUAUGUGUGUUAAAAUUGAAGAUAAGGCUAUUUAUUUCAUUUCAUAAAGUUACUUGUAGUUUGAUUUUAUGUUUAUAUUUUUCUGUAUAGAAGAGAAGAUGCCGUAAGCUUUUUUAACUUCUAAUUGUUGGGCAAAGGAAACAAAACCCCUCACAAGGCUUAUUUUGCAUGUGCUUCAUUUUCGCUAUCUUUUCCUAGGCUUCAAAAUUUAUGUUUCCAAUCCACAAAUCGUGAAUAAAGCAUCAAGUAAAAAAAAUGUUGUUUCCCCAUAACUAAAUGUCAGUUUUUGUUCAGAGACUUGUGACAAUGGUGACAAAGUCCCUAAUCACAAAGCAUGAUGUUCCAAAUAUAUUUAUAAUUUUAGAGUAUAGUCACUCAACCAAACUACACUUACAAUGAAUAGUUGAUCACCCUUUUACACAACAUGGUUUAACUGUUAAUGCUUGAAAAUUACUGCUAUUGGAACAAUGAUCUCUCUACAGAGUUAUCAAAUGCAGAAACAGGUAAACUUAUCCCCCCCCCCCCAACGAAUUAGAGGGACACAUCUAACACAUGCUUUUAGCUUUCAACUUUCUAUUUAUUCAAGUGACUAGACAAAAAAAAAAAAUAGAAUACAGCAGUGUCAUAAAAGGACAUCUUCUCAUCAUCACUGAUAUACAUGUAACCGCAAAAUUCACAACUAUAAUUGUUAAGAUCAUGCAAUAAAAGAAGCAUGCGAUUGAUUACCGGGAACUGUAAUGGAGAUUGUGGGGGGCUUGACUUAUCAUACUCUAUAGUAUCAAAGAACUACAAUAUUCAAACACCAUUUCAACUUUUCUAAGAUUUUUCUAAUUCCUUAUCAUCAUUCUUUGACAUGAUAUCACAUUUGAGUCUAUGCUGUAGUUGAGAAUUCACCUGCUUUCUUAAUUUAGCAUUGUCAGUGAAGAUGUCUGCGAUGAUCUUCCUUAACUCAUCAUCUAUUCUAGUAUCGUAGUGGUUGUCAUGUACAUUAUUGGUAUCCUCAAUGGCACUGCUAUCUUCCUUCGCUAAUAGUUGCACCUAAAGCAUAUUAUGCAGGAAAAAGAUUAGCUAAAGGCAAAGGUCAGGGAAGAUGAAACAAUAAAAUAAUGGAAAAUUAUAUUACAAAGUUGCCAAAAAGCAAGGGGCAGGAUGGGGAAGAAAGAACGAGAGAUAGAGAGGACAAAAGUUCGGAAUCCAUUUUAUGGUUUAUACUUAAGGUGUGACAAAGCCUUUCAUUUUCUAUUGAAUAUUUCCAAUAAAAAUGAAUAUAUAAAGAUCAACUCAAGGGGCAAUAAUUUUCACAAUGCUGGAAAUAUCCAAAAAGCAAGGUACCUCUGCAAGUAGGACAGUGAUUUUAUCAUCAGAUGUAGUCAACAAAUCCAAUGCUUCUUCAACUAAGGAAGAAUCCUUGAUUAAAUUUUCAUCAUCAUCUAUGGACAAAUUCACAUUGCACUCAAGAAGACGAUUGCGAAGAAGUUGGCAUUCAUUUAGCAGCUUUUCUCUAGCAGUUCUUACACGCUUGCUGGUUUGUCUUUCGUGCUCUAGUUGUACCUGCAAAAUCCAAGGACUAAAUCCAUUAGCAACGAUUUGCUUUGACCACAUUGAAUGUAAAAAUCUCAGUAAAUUUGGGGAGCGGGGUGUUCUGGAAAUGCUUUAGUACAGAAUUACCUCCACCUCAGAUAUCUUUGAUAGUGAUUGAUCAACCUCCUGCUUCAGUUCUUUUUCAGAUUUCCUAAGAGACUUGACCUCUUUAACAAGAACUUUAAUUUCGGCUUUUGAUUUAGUCUCUAGCUCUUCAUAUUGCUUUGAGAUAAUGUUCAGCUGCUCCUUACUAGCAUUUAACUCUUGCAACAUUGCAUCUUUCUCCUUAGCAGCAGAAUGAUUAGUUGUCUCUGUUAUUUGCAUCUCAUCCUGUCUCAAGUUUUAUUUUUAUCAGUGAAUACUAAAACAUCGGCAAGUAUAUUUUACUUUAAGCGGCAAAGAAAUUGCCUCAAAAUGCAUGUUAGGCACUCAAAAAAGAUUUGCAAUGCUUGUCCAAGGGAAAUCAAUGACAGUUAACUUUUCAAACAAAUUUCUCAAGUAACAGCAGAAAACUUCAACAAUCAGGUUCUAUAACAUUCCUAUCUGGAGAUUAGUUUGGUUUUAUCCUGUGGGGUGAGAGGCAGAGGACUGGAGAUAGACGUUUAAUGGAAAUAAGACAUUAAACAUUUAGAGACAUAUAAUCACUAAUUUUAAGCACUUCCACUCCAUGCAUAAUUUAUAAGGCUAUGUUCAUCAUCUACCUUAAUUGACAAAAAUAUCAGCACAAUGCACCGAUAUCAUGCAUGUGCACUCGUGUGGCAGUUAUAAAGAAAAACAUAUUUCAAGAUUAAAAGGAGUCAAAUGCUUUACCUGUUUAGGAUUCAACUUCAACUGCAUUUCCAAUAAUUUACGCCGAAGUUCUUCCAUUUCCCACUGCAUUUGAGUAAACCUUUCUCUUUCAAUCAGGAGAGCUUGCUGCAGGUUCUCUUUACUUUUCUGUUUGGUGCUUUCAAGUUCCACUUCCAAAUCCCUAACCUGAGAAUCUCCAAUAUGUUAAUUAAACUCAAAUUGCUAAUAUUUUAUUAAGAAAGCUUAUUCAACCUCUAUUGCAAUAUAAAGCACCCAAAGACAAAAACCAUUUGAAAACAGAAUUAAAAAAGCUAUAUAGGAAUCUGGUCAAAAUUUGUUGGAAAGGACACAGGUCUGAAAAUCCUUGACCAAAAAGGGACAAAAAAUAAAUUAAAAAAAAACUGACCCAUAAAAAAAAGAACUAUAAAAAAUUUCUGUUUUGCACGCACAAUUCAUCUAAAUGUAGAUCAAAUAGAACAUAUUAUUGAAAGAAAAAAGAGACCAAUAUAGUGAAAUAUCAAAAGUCAGCAUCAAAACUAUAUACUGUCACUGCAAAUAACCCCCUGAAUACUGAGAAUAUCUCAAUUGUAUUGAUACUAAACAAUUUAUAUUAUGAUAACUUCCAAAAUUGAAAUCUCAAAAGCCACAUUGAACUGCUUCUACAAACCUUUGUUGUAAGAUAACCUUUCACAGCUAUUUCUUGAUUUAGUCUUGCUAUAAGAUCCUCCAUGUCAGUUUUUGCAGUGACUAGUCCCUGCUGCAUUGUCAAAAGAAACCUAUUCAUCUUGUGGCGCUGAUCCAAUGGAAGAACUAUUUGUGUAGCUCCAGAAAACUGCAAAUCUGAUUUUCCAAGAGUUCCCAUGGUACUCAAUACUUCAGAAGUUCCAGGAAGGUCACAAGAUGAAUUUGAAAUUCUAAAGUUGCACGUAUCACUACCUCUCAAAGAAGUUACAUCACUCCCAACACUUUCAGUUGAUAGCUUUCGAGCAUGACCAGCCAUCUUAGCAGGCUCUGGUUCGGAAAACAGUUCCAAUCCAUCAGCGCCAAGAAAUGAAGCUCUAGAGCCAUUUCCAUUAUAAGUACCUUUCUCCAAAGUUUUAUUGAUGUUUCUGUGAAGUGUUUUAUGCUUAGGAAAAUCUUCUAGCUGCUCCAAAAUUGUCUGUCCCAUAGAUAGUCCCUCAUCAAUGUUGGACAUACCAUACUUCACAAAAUUUUCUAUUGAACCUGACAAAUCUUCAUCCAAUGUCAGAUCUGCCAAACCAAUGUCAGAGCUGUUAUCUCUCCCUAACCUAGGUGACCCAAGCUCAGAUGUCUCAUAAGCAGUAUCACUACCAUAAUCUGAUGUCACUGAUGAACAACCAGCAAUAUGAGAUGUGUUUGAACUGGGAUGAAUCUCAUUUGAUGAAAUUGUGCUAUUUCCAGCAACAUUUGGUUCUGAGGAGCAUUUAUUUACCUCUUGGAAUGCUGAAAAGAAUAUAUAAUAUGUAAAAAGUCCAAGUUAUUGAUAAAAAUAAUCUCGACCAAGAUAUACUACAUAUCCUCUAAUAGACAUCCACUAUUGCUUGGAUUCUAUCAGAUAUCCACUUUUACAGGAAAAUUGUAGAAGAUAAGAUAACUACAUCUGGAAGUCCUGUUAAUGAAGUAGAAUUGGACAUACCAGAUCUUGCAGCAGCUUCUAGUUCAAGAAAGGACGCAACUGUGACACUUCUCGACAAAUCAAUGUCAGAUAACAGCUUUGUCAUCCACUCCUCCAAUGAACACCUUCUCUGCAACAAAACUAAGACUUUUGAGGACAUUAGUCACUCAGAUAAUAGAGAUGAUAAACAUUUAAUCAGAAGCUUCCCUUUUUUCUCUCUCUGUGUUUUUUCCCAAACAUACCAACUUGCAUCGCAUAAACAGUUAAUUGCUACUGUUGCAACUUAAUAAUCGGCUCCUUUAGCUAUCUAUAAUUCUUGAAGUUCAAAUUUUUUGUUAAAGAAAAAAGGUUUGUCAAAUAAAAACUGUAGUUCAAUACCAUGUUUGUAUGUCUGUAUAGAAAACAUAUGAUUUGAACCUUGGAAAUCAAUAGUGGUGAUUUCCAUUUUCAGGAUUCUUUUAGUUACAUCAGACAACUGAAGGAAAACACCUUUAUGGGCUUCAGUUCUGAAUUAUCCAGUGCCAAGUUACGUAGAGAACUUUGACAUGCUUCAAUCAAUAUAGCCUACCACAAAGACAUGCCCCAAUUUGCGCAAACUGUUUCUAGGACAAAAUAAUGCAGGGAAAAUGUCCAUAAAAAACUAAGUUUUGUAGCACAAAGAUCUGAGAAGUUCUAAGUUUGCCAUCAAGGAUGAAUUGUAUUAGCAAAUAUAAGGGGAAGCCAAAAAGCUAGUACUGAUCAUCAGAGAAGAAAACAAUGAGAAAUGAAAUAGAGUUAUGGCACAUUUUCCAGAUGAUAAAGAGAAGAAGACACUACAGCAAUUCUAUUAAAACCAUAAAAAAUUAAAACAGACACCCCAAAGUGAAAAGCUUAUUGCCUACCUCUUCCAACAAAACUCUGCUUUUCAUACGCAACAAUCCCUUGGGUGGUGCAGGGGGAAGACUUUUCUUGGGAAAUGCCGUUUUUAGCUGUAGACAGAAGUCAAAUAACAAUAUAAGAGGUGAGGUCCCAAAUGAAAUGUAUUUGAAUAUUUUAGUCAGAAUGCAUAUAAUCUGUAUCCAUAGUUCUGCUCAAGCAAUUAUGUCAUAACAAUCAGCUUCAGAACAUUACACUCUAAAUAUGGAGUUCUUGCUGCAACUAAAGCAAACUCCAGGACUUACUUCAGUAAAUAGCUUCAAAAAAUCAUUAAAUCUUCUUAAUACUCCACGUGUAGUUGUAACGCCCUCCGGUGACUGUAACCCAACCUGUACCCUGUAAAACUGUCCCCCUAAGAAUGUUAACAGAGAACUGUGAAAAUUAUAUUAGUAUGACUAAAAUGACUAUAUCUAUAUAACUGAUGAUUACAAAAGAAUGCCAGCGUGUCAAUUUAAAAAAUGAAAUUAACUCUUAGAGUGUUAGAUUGCCAACAUAGAGAAUUUAAGCCCCUUUACAUGUUGAAAGUUUUCUGAUUUGUAAUAUAAUAAUCCAUUAGAAAAGUACUAAUUUUUUUUUAAUAAAUAGAAAAGUACUAGAAUAUUAAUAAACAGUGAGGCAGAAUUUUGUAUUAUGAAAGAGAAUUCAACAUAUCACUAAGAAUAUUACAAACUACAAAGCAGAAUUGGAUUACAUCUAUCAUAGGCAUAUACAAUGGUGGUUACCACAACAGGAUCUGAAUCUCUUGCUUUGGGAAGGACAACCCAAGAUGGUAUUGUAACAGAGUAACUCCAUCCUGUUUGAGGAUCAUGUGGCCAAACAGUUUCCCUCCCAUUCUGCACGUAUAUGUAUAAUGAGUACAGGCUCUUACUACAAGAAUCAAAAAAUAAACGAAGGAAAAGAAAAUCAUUUCUUUUUUCAUGCUAUAAGAACCAUAAACAAUGGUAUUGAAAAUGCAUCAAAAUCAAAUCCUUAUUUUAAGAUGAUUUCUAGAUCCUUGCUUGAGUUCUCAGAUCAUCCUGCUUAACCAAAAAAACUAAUGCAAUUCAACUUGAUGCAGAAGCUUAAUUUUAUAAUAUUUUAUUUUAUUCUUUCAGUUUUAUUUUAUGUAUUAGAUAUAUUUUGGGCAGCUAAUAUUAUUAGUUAUUGUCAGAUUUCAGUUUCCUAAUUAAGGAAUAUUUGAGUGUAUCAAAUAGGAUUCUGUAAAUAUUUUAUCCCUCUUUAAGGCUGUUUUUAGGUACAGCAUCCCUAGAAUUAGUAUGUUUCCUAGUGUAAAGUUUCCUAAGUUAGGCUCACUAUGUCUAUAUAUAUUUAUGUAAUUUCUUGUGAAAAAUAUAAUUGAAAUAGCCUGUUUUUAACAUGGUAUCAGAGCUUUUUCUGGGAUUUUUUUUCUUUGUCUGGCGAUUUUUUUUCCUGAUUCCAACCAGCCCUCAAGCCUGUAAAAUUUGUUCAAGCGAAACAUGACUGAAACUGUCAAGAUCAGUAACACUGGGGAUGUCUCAGAAGUUUCUGUGAACAACUCAAACCCAACAAGUGAGUUUCAGAACAUCCAAGUAGCCUACAGGCUAAAUGGGAAAAUUACCUGAAGUGGUCUCAACUGAUUCGUACGUUCUUGAAGGGAAGAGGAAAAAUGAGUCACUUACUCGGAACUGGACCUAAAGAAGGAGAUCCUAAGUUUGAUGCUUGGGAUGAACAAGACUCUAUGAUAAUGUCUUGGUUAUGGAACUCUAUGAUGCCAGAAAUCAGUGAUACAUGCAUGUUUCUUAACACAUCCAAAGAAAUAUGGGAAGCUGUGAAAUAGACUUAUUCUAAAGUUCGAGAUGCUGCUCAAAUCUAUGAAAUCAAGACUAAGAUUUCAUCUACCAAGCAAGGAAGUCGAUCAAUCACGGAGUAUUCCAAUCUGUUGCAAAGUUUAUGGCAAGAGAUGGAUCAUUACCAGUGCAUCCAGAUGAAGUGCAGUGAAGAUGCAGCACUCUUAAAAAGGUUCGUUGAAAAGGAUCGAAUUUAUGAUUUUCUUGCUGGACUAAAUGUUGAGUUUGAUGCAGUAAGAGUUCAAGUACUUGGAAAAGAGGAACUACCAUCACUAAAUGAGACAAUUGCAAUUGUUCGUGCUGAGGAAGGAAGAAGAGGAGUUAUGGUUGAGAACAGUCAAGUGAAUAGUUCAGCCUUGGUUACAAAAGGUGUAAAUGAGAGGAGAUUUGGCCUGGAGCAACCAAAUAGUGAAGAUAAUAGACACACAGAAUGUACAAAGCCUAUUAACAGGGAUUCCGUAUGGUGCACCUAAUGUAAAAAGGCCCGUCACACUAAAGAAAGAUGCUGGAAACUCCAUGGGAAGCCACAAACAACAAAUAAAAAUUUUUCAGAAAAAGGUGGACAACCAAAGGGACAAGGACGAGCAUAUACAACAAGACAGCUGGAUGGAAAAAAUAAUUCUCAAGAAUCACCUGUUGAAUUCAAUAAAGAAGAAAUUGAGAAGUUAAAAAAUUUGCUGGGAUCAUUGGAAAAAAAUUUCUUCAACAAGUACUUGUAGUUUGGCCUUUUCAGGUAUAUCCUCUUCUCAAGAUUCUAAAGUCUCAGAUAUAGUCACCAAAAGUUCUUGGGUCAUUGACUCAGGAGCUACGGACCACAUGACCCACUCCUCACAAAAAUUUGUUUCAUAUACACCUUGCCCUAGUAGUGGAAAAAUAACAGUAGUCGAUGGUUCUGUGAUCACAGUGGCUGGUCAGGGUGAUAUUGUUAUAAACAAAACCCUUACUCUUAAAAAUGUCCUUCAUGUUACAAAACUAUUUUCCAAUCUUUUAUCCAUUCAAAGACUCUAACUGUAAAGUGGUUUUCUAUCACAAUCGAUGUCUUUUUCAGGAACAGAAUACGAGGAGGAUAAUUGGACAUGCUAAGGAAGUAAAUGGCCUAUACUAUCUUGAAGAAUCCAGUGGAGAAGUCAGUGCUCUGAAUUCCUCACCUUCAUCUUUCAUAUCCAAAUCUAUUAAAACCAAUAAAGACCAAAUUUGGCUCUAUCACCUUCGCCUUGGUCAUCCAUCGUUUAGAGUCCUUAAAAUUAUGUUUCCUUCAUUGUUCAAAGGAUUGGCUGUUGAAAAAUUUCAUUGUGAUAUCUGUGAACUUGCAAAACAUAAACGUACCUCUUUCCAGUAAGCAAUAAAAGAACUUUCACUCCUUUUACUCUUAUUCAUAGUGAUGUUGGGGGCCAUCCACUAUUUCAAAUAUUUCUGGGGCUCGGUGGUUUGUAUCCUUUAUUGAUGAUUGUACUCAUGUGUCUUGGAUAUUUCUUUUAAAACAAAAAUCUGAUGUAAGGUCUGUCUUUCCAACCUUUUACAACAUGAUCAAAACACAAUUUGGAGCUGAAAUAAAAAGGUUUAGGUCAGACAAUGCUAAGGAUUAUUUCAAUCAAUUUCUCUCAACAUAUUUCCAGGAAAGAGGCAUUAUACAUGAGUCAUCUUGUGUUAGUACACCCCAACAAAAUGGUGUUGCCGAAAGAAAAAAUGGUCACAUUUUAGCUAUUACAAGAGCCUUUUUGUUCCAAAAAAAUGUCCUUAAACAAUAUUGGGGGAGGCUAUUUUAACUGCUACUCAUUUGAUAAAUAGAUUGCCUACAAAAGUCCUUGAAUCUCAAAGUGCUAUGCAAGUUCUAGCAAAAUUCUUUCCUGAUUUCAAUACUUCAAGUAACCUUACUCCCAAAAUAUUUGGCUGUGUUGCUUUUGUGCAUGUUCAUUCUCAAAAUAGAGGAAAAUUUGAUCCACGAGCUAUCAAGUGUGUCUUUCUUGGUUAUUCUUCCACUCAAAAGGGGUACAAAUGCUAUCAUCCAGCCACAAAAAAAAAUUUUGUAAUAGCAGAUGUUACUUUUGCAGAACAAGAGAAUUUCUUUACUCGUCCUUAUCUUCAGCUGGAGAUCUUAUUCACAGAAGAUAAGGACAAAGAAUUCUUUCUUCUUGACAUUCCAGCUCCUAUCCAGCAACAAAACACCCACAUUCCAGCUCCUGUCCAGCAGCAAAACACUCACAUUCCAACUCCUGUCCAGCAACCAAACACUCCCACUCAGUCCUUGCCUACUAACCAACCUGCCCGACUUGAAACAAUGGCCCCUAUACAACCUGAAACAGAGCCUAAUACACCCAAAUCACCAAGAGAAAUUCAGGACACUACUCGUUCUUUACUGGUUUAUUCAAGGAAGAAGGCACCGGUGCAAGUUCAAUCAUCUUCUUCUCCUAUACAACCUGAGGUAAUUGCUGAACCUACUUUGAAUUCUAAUACUGCAAAUUUAGAUGAUUUUCCCAUUUCUAUUAGAAAGGGGACUAGAACCUGUACAAAACAUCCCUUCUACCUAUUCAUGUCUUACAAAAACUUGUCCCAUAACCACAAAACCUUUCUUACCAGCCUAAAUUCUAUCUCCAUUCCAAAAACUGUAUCCGAGGCAUUAGAAGAUGAGAAUUGGAAAAAUGCCAUGAAAGUUGAAAUGGAAGCUCUUGAAAAAAAUAAAACAUGGGACUUAGUGCAAUUACCGAGAGGAAAGAAACCAGUGGGAUGUCGCUAGGUGUACACAGUGAAAUAUAAGUCAGAUGGUUCUUUGGAGAGGUACAAAGCAAGAUUGGUUGCUAAAGGGUACACUCAAAUGUAUGGAAUAGACUACCUUGAGACAUUUGCCCCUGUAGCAAAGAUGAACACUGUAAGAGUGUUGUUGUCACUAGCUGCCAACCAAGGCUGGAAAUUACAGCAAUUUGACAUCAAAAAUGCCUUUUUAUACAGUGAUCUUGAGGAGGAAGUCUAUAUGGAUGUUUCUCCAAGAUUCGGUCCAAAUACAGGAAAGGUAGUUUGCAGACUAAAAAAGGCUUUGUACAGACUAAAACAAUCCCCGAGGGCUUGGUUUGGAAGAUUUACCAAAGUAAUGCUCAAGUUAAGGUAUAAACAGAGUCAAGGAGAUCACACUCUAUUUGUAAAACACUCAUCUUCAGGGGGAGUGACUGCUUUAUUAGUCUAUGUUGAUGACAUUAUAGUGACUGGUGAUGAUCUAGAAGGAAUGGAGAAUUUAAAGAAAUGCCUAGUAAAAGAAUUUGAAGUCAAAGAGCUCGGUAAGUUAAAAUAUUUCCUUGGUAUUGAAGUGGCACACUCUCGGGAAGGAAUAUUCAUAUCUCAGCAAAAAUACAUAGUUGAUUUGUUGACAGAGACGGGCAAGUUGGGCUGUAAACCAGCAGAGACACCCAUAGAGGUGAACCAUAGACUUGGAAAUGCACUAGAAGAUGCAGCAGUUGAUAAAAGGUCAUAUCAAAGACUUGUGGGGAAGCUCAUUUACUUGUCUCAUACCAGACCAGAUAUUGCCUAUACAGUAGGUGUUGUAAGUCAGUUUAUGCACAAUCCCAAAGAAUCACAUCUUAGAGCCGUAUAUCAGAUUCUACAGUACUUAAAGGGCACACCAGGCAAAGGAAUCCUAUUUAAAAAGGGGCAGAAUUUAACCCUUGAAGCCUAUACUGAUGCAGAUUAUGCAGGAUCUAUGGUUGAUAGAAGAUCAACCUCGGGCUAUUGUACUUUCCUAGGAGGCAACCUUGUGACUUGGAGAAGUAAAAAACAAAAGGUUGUGGCUAGAUCUAGUGCAGAAGCUGAAUUUAGGGCGAUGGCUCUUGGAGUCUGUGAGUUGUUAUGGCUAAAAAUUAUUUUGGAAGAUUUGAAGAUCGAGUGGGAAGGUCCAAUGAAGUUGUAUUGCGAUAAUAAGUCUGCUAUCAAUAUUGCACAUAAUCCAGUUCAACAUGAUCGAACGAAGCACGCUGAGGUUGACAGACAUUUUAUAAAGGAAAAACUGGACAGUGGCUUAAUUUGCACUCCAUUUGUGUCUACUGAUGGUCAACUAGCAGACAUACUUACCAAAGGAUUGUCUGGGAAGUUGUUUCAGAAAUUAGUAAGCAAGCUGAGAAUGGAUGAUAUCCACUUCCCAGCUUGAGGGGGAGUGUCAGAUUUCAGUUUCCUAAUUAAGGAAUAUUUGAGUGUAUCAAAUAGGAUUCUAUAAAUAUUUUAUCCCUAACUUUAAGGCUGUUUUUAGGUACAGCAUCCCUAGAAUUAGUAUGUUUCCUAGUGUAAAGCUUCCUAAGUUAGGCUCACUAUGUCUAUAUAUAUUUAUGUAAUUUCUUCUGAAAAAUAUAAUUGAAAUAGCCUGUUUUUAACAGUUAUCAUUAGGUUUAAAUCUAGGGUUAGGAUUGAAACUUUUAUAACUUUACUUGCAAGAAAGAAAGCCUAUAUAAAUAAGUUCUAAGCUUUACAGCCAACAUUGUUAUUCUUACUAUUUUCUUUGAAUUAAUAUAAAGAAACUAGAGAUUUUCAAUAACCCCAAAUUUUCUAGAAUUCCAACUUCUUACUCGUUUGUUCAACCCUAAUUCUUUCUAUUAUUGAUAUUCUCUCCCCUAAACCAUAUCGACUAGAGUUUGCUUUUAACCCAUGGUUGGACAAAUUAGAGAUUGAGAAAGAGGAAAUCAGUGUCAAGAAACGAGAUUGGCUGAAAUACAACAUGGUUGUUUCCACAAGAACAAGUGCAAUGCAGGAGCUUAAAAUUAAAAAUAAAUAUAUUUUAUUAUUUCAGUUUAUUUUAUUUAAAGUAUUAGAUUUGUUUUCUUGACAGCUUGGAUUAUUAUUACUUGGGGAUUAAGUAUAGGAUUAUUAAUUAAAUUUUUUGCAAGAAAGCCUAGAAACUUUACUUGCAAGAAAGAAAUCCUAUAUGUUGUAGGCUUUACAGCCAUAAUAAUUAUUCUGAUUAUUUCAUUUGGGUUAACAGAAAAACUAGAGGUUAUCUAUAACCUACGCUUUCUAGAGUUCCAUCUUCUUUCCUAUUCAUUUGUUUAGCCCUAAUUCUUUUUAAUUGCUACUGUUUUCUUCCCCAAUCCACAUCAAAGUGGGAACCCAAACGGAGAUUAUGGAAGCUACCCACGCCAGUUUGACAUGCCUAAAGAUAGCCUUGCUGAUAAAUCUAAUUUGAUGAGGAAGAAAACCCCUUUCAUGAUGUUGGACCUGCAUACUGUGCAACACGAGGUGGACUGGAGGAAUGGUUAGUGUGUGCCCUUGAAUUAAAUGAGGAUUGAAUCAAAGUUGAAGUUGUUGAUUUUUUUGGAAAGAUGUAUAUGGAAGAGCAAGACUAUGAUUUGUUAGAUCCUAUUUAUGAUGAGUAUCCGGAAGAAAUUGAGGAAGAAUCCUUGGUUGCUCGUGAAGUGUAGGCAACAACAACUAAAGAGGGAAAGGAGACUAGUAUUGUGGUAGAUGCACUUAUUUGACUACUAAAGGCGUUAAGUGCUCAAGUGAAGGGUUUUGAAGAAGUCAGAGAUCAAUAGGAAACUAACUCAUAUUUUGGCCCAAACAUAUUUGAGAGUCCUAAGAUGUUCAGCAUGACCCUUUGUGAAGCCAAAUCAGUUAUUGAAAUAGAUGCUCCAUUGAGUGAUGAUCAGGACCCUAGCCAACAUUCUAAAAAGAAGUGUUAUCUUUGCCAUACCCAACAUAAAAUCUAAGAGAUUGAAGUAUUCUUUAAAGAGCAUCCUCAACUGGAUGAUAAGCCUUGUAUGAUAUUCCUACGGCUACAAAUCAUAUUCUUGCAGGAAUACCUUGGCUGAAUGAUAUUCUUGAUCGACUGGUUCUAUAGAGUUUUUAAUGUUUGAUUUGAAGAGUGGUUACCACCAUAAUAGAUUAAGAAUUGUUGAUGAAUGGAAGACAACUUUUAAGACUACAGAUGGCUUUUAUAAAUGGUUAGAAAUGCCAAGCACAUCUAAUGUGGAUCAUGAGUGCGGUAGGCAGACAACUAGACACUACAAAACAGUAUGAAGCUGUUGUAAUAGCUACUUUAAAUGUUGUAAUUUUCUCUUAAACCUACUCAACAAAAACUGAAGCUGGUGAACCUGCCAGGAGUGAAAGCAGGAAUACUCCUACUGCUCAUAUAUCAAACAAGACACCGGUUGAGGUAGACAAGAAAAAUUUUGACAAUAAAUCAUGUUAGCACAACAGCUCAUGAAAAAGCUGUUUCAGCUUGUGAUGUUCCAAAAGAAGAAAGAAGAAAGUAUAUGUUACUGAACUUGGUGCAAAGGAACUAGAAAACAAUGGAUCUAUUGUGGUUACAACCUCUGCCCAAAGAGCUAAUUCUUUGAAACCUGAGUGCAAAAACCUAUAUUGGCUUAGAGAAUGUUGCAAGUUCAAAAGAGACUCCAAAUGAAAAUUAAUUACAGAGAAUAAAAUGGAGGCUGAUAUUACAAGCUCUCAAAAUGCUGGUAAUAAGAAAGAUGUUUCUCAAGGAACUCUUGCUUAUGCUGGUGAUCAAACAGAUUCUAGCAUUCAACCUGACUUUACCAAUCCAAUGAAACUACCUCGAAUUGCUGAGAGGGGUAAAACCAACUUACGGUCUGGUUUUAAAGAAUAUCCAAAAGCUGAUAUUGUUGGUAAUAAUUCUAGAAUGGUCCUAUUUUGUGCAGGUAUGGCGGAAACUUCUAUUGAUGAUUUUGAAACCAAAGAAGAAAGUUGUAGAAUGAUUGAUAUACUGUCUGGAAUUGAGGUGGAGCCUUCUUUGAAAGGAUCUCCUAGAACUUCCCAUGGAAAUAGAAGUAUUGAUCUUAAGGAUAUUCUUGCAGAAACAUUGUUUUGUAAUCGAUCUGCUGCUUAUUUGAGUGACGUAUCCUUUGACAAGUCAGACAUGCUUUUUAUGACUAUGAGGUUUUUUAUAGCGGUUGUUUCUAAAGGUUCCAAAGCUUCAGAAAACUCGAACAGUCUCGGAUCUAGUUCUUUGGUGGCUGACAUGAAAUUUACUUAUUUUGCUACUAAUCAAAAUUGUGGAAAUCAGAAAAGGAGUGGAGACCAUUAUGCAACUAACAUCCUGAAUUUGAAGGUUAAUGAUCCCUCUCUUUGUGUGGCACAUAUUGAUGAAGUUGAAGAAAGGGAAGGUGGAAGAGUUUGGAAAGUUUACUAUUCUGUAGUGGUUAAAGGUGCUGAUAAUCUUGACCAGGAAAUCUAUCGAAUUAAGUUGCUUAAGAAGGCAAAGUUAGGAGAAAGAAAACCUGAAAAACAGACUCAUGCUUAAAUUUUUACCAAUGCAGAAGUUUUCAAACCAGUGAUAUGGAUCAGGAAAACAACAUGAAGAAUUGCCUAAAAAGAGCUGAUCUAGAAAAUUAUGCUGACACGGUGGAAGUUGUCUCACUGGAGUCGAGUUUUCCAAGCCAGGGAGAAUUACGCAGGAGCUUAAUUUUAUAAUAUUUUAUUUUAUUAUUUCAGUUUAUUUUAUAGUAUUUAGUUUAAGUAUUGGAUAUCUUUUGGGCAGCUAAAAUUAUUAGUUAUCUUAAGGUCUAAAUCUAGGUAUGGAUUAAAACUUUAUUUGCAAGAAAGCUUAGUAACUGUACUUGCAAGAAAGAAAGCUUAUAUAAAGAAGUUGUAAGCUUUACAGCCAACAUUGUUAUUCUUUUUAUUUUCUUUGAAUUAAUAUAAAAAACUAAAGGUUUCCUAUAGCCCUUGAAUUUUCUAGAUUUCCAACUUUCUUACUCAUUUGUUCAGCCCUAAUUCUUUAUAUUGCUACUGUUUUCUCCCCUAAACCACAUCACAGCUGAAUGUGCUUAUAAAUCAAUAGAAGCACCGAAAAUUCUUAAGAACCAUAUCAUGAGGAUUCAUAUUGACACUGAAACUUGGGGAGCAAAAUAACCUAAAUUCUAAAGUUUACUAGAUUAAUGUAUUAAAAAGGCAGGUUAAAGCAAUAAACGCACUGUCUUUUCCAUUUAAGAUCAAUGUAAACUAAGUUACUGAAACAAUCUAGCAAUCAAGUCUUUGCAAAAUUGAUUGACUUUCUGUUUUCUCGAUCCACCAUAUGAUCACUCAAAACACUAUUGAGUGCUAAUUCAGAUUCCAAACUAACUUCAAAUAAGAAAAAAAAAAAGAGGAAAGAGAGAUAAAUUUGGAGGGAAAGCUGACCCAUUUACGAGGGGGCGGACUCCAAUCCAUCCCGAGAGGCAGCGGCGAAGUCCCAUCGUGCCUGUGCUUCGGUGGACUCCGUCUCUGCAUCAUCUAUUUCUCUUUUUUCUAUUAUUCACUGCGAAAACGACGCCGAUCUCUCUCUCGUGGAACCGACAUAGAACAUUAAAAUCAAGAGGCGAAGAGCUUUAGGGUUUAAUUGAUCGGAUCAGAGGGAGGAAAGUAGGCAAGUUGGGCCUUUGGCGUGGAAAUUCAAUGAUCGGAGACCGAUUUCGCCUCUUUUUUUUUCUCUAUUAUUAUUAGUAAUAACAAUUCGGAGUUGAAAAAGAAAAGAAGAAGAAGAAGAUAGAGCGCAUUUUAAAGGCGAAAAGAAAGGAGUGGGCUAAUUUGAGCCGUGAGCGUAGCGUAUCAUCUGAAAACCUUGCUUCUAUAUUCGGAAGGUGUCUUCUUCUGCCUCUUUUUAGUCGUCUCUCUCAAGUCCUCGUCCUGGAUGCCAAAAUUUCGAUCCCACACCUUUCUAUUCUUUAUUUAAUUAAAAUUCGGGACACUUGUACUAACCUAAGAAUGAACGGUCUUACCUAAUUCUCUUGUUCUGCCCUUGCAUUAAAUUUCAGGCCAAAGGCGAUAUCAAGCUAUCUAUACGGGAAAGGAUUGUAAUACAACCACGAUAUGAAUUAUGUAUACGAGAAUCGAGAAAUAAUGAUUCUAUAAAACAGUAAUAUUAUAUUAUUUGUAUCUCUUUUAUUAGUUUAAUAUUAUAUUAAUAUUUUUUAUUCAGAAUUUUAAUAUUUUCAUCUUUAAAAAAUUAAAUAAAAAUUUUAAAAUUUAAGAUAAAAUUAUUAAUAUCACAUUAAAUUAUUAGAAAUUAAUAAUAUUUUUAUUUUAUACAAUCUUUCUUCGUAAAAAUACAUAUAUUUUGUCUAUUCAAACAAACACUUAUAGAUUGUGUUGGGAUAACAAUUUGUACAUUUGUUUUAGAAUUGCCUAAGUGCAAUUCAAAGUUGACAUUAUUUUACUUUGAUAUUUAUGGUGUGUUACUCAAUCAAAAAAUAAAAGAGGAGGAGGAAGGAUCGACAGUCUCAUCUCAAAGUAUUAUUCUUAUCUCGUUAUUUCUUUUACUUGAGGACCAAGCUUGGGCCUUUAUUCUUAACGGAUUUUUAUAUAGGCAGGCGAAUAAAUUGUUGAAUUGGUCCCUUUGCUUCUACAUAUAUUUUAUUUCGAAAUAUAACCUUCUUCCUAUUCAUUUUCUUCAUUCUGUUAAAUUUUCUUUAUUUUAUAUUUUGUUAUUUUAUUAUUAAUGCUAUUGUUGAUGGUUCUAAUCAUAUCUAUUUUUUUACACAAUAUUUAAAACUACUCAUAGUCCCUUCUCAACUCAUAAAUACGAAGACAAAGUACUUCAGUGUACUCAAAUUCACACCCUUUUACAUUGACAAUAACAUUCAUAUCAAUCAAACUAAGACUCAAUCUACUAUUACUAUUUUUAAUUUUAGAACCAGAAUAAUUUACAGCGUGUUUGGUUCGCCGUAUUACCCAAUCCAUUACGCCCCGAUUACGCGUGUAUUACAUUACGCCCCUAAUCCGGCGUUUGGUUCGCUGUAUUAGCCAUUACGCGCGUAUUACAUUACGCCCCUAAUCCCCAAAUUCCCGUGUUUUACAAUCCGUUCCCAAAUCGUUGUAUUAGCCAUUACGCCUGGCCUCCCUCCCCAUCUCUCUGUUUUACCCUCCAUCCCUACCCGACCCUCUCCUCUUCCGUCCUAAUCAUUUUCUCCUCCCAUUUCCCACUGAUUCCGUUGAUUAAUCUGUCGUCAUCGUUUCUUCUCGUCUCGGCAUCAAAUUUCCCUUCCCCAUUUCCUCCCAACACUAUCUGCUCCGCACACCAAAACCCUCUCUUUUUCUCUUCAAUAUAUUCACAAAAUUGGAAAUUCUAGCAGCAGCAGCAGCAGCCAAAACAGUAACCAGCAGCAGCCCCUCUUUCUUCUCUUUCUUUCGAUUUCACACUUCUCAUAAAUGGAACAUUUCAAUCAGAAAAUGGAAAAGAGAAAUCAGUUGCAUGAGAAGGAAAAUUACUAAGGUUGUUGGUUUGCAUAUUUAACUGGGUUAAUCUUAGAAAUCUUGAGGGAGAAAACUUGUGACAUAAUGCAGACUAUUAGUUAGAACAGGAACUAUGUUUGGUGAUACCCUCUGAGAGUAGUAAUUUUUGGUAAUAGAGAGGAUGGUUAAGCAGUACAACUUUCGAUUAUGACUGCAGGAGGGUCUGACUAGGACAUUCAUUAAACAUUGGCUUAGGACUAAUAACUAUUUGUGUGCAAGAAGGUAGAAAUAUUUGUUAGUAAGACUUCUUAAAAAUUGGAUGUAGGGUUAAUAGUAUUAAGAAAACUGUAUUAGUUGUAUGUUUGGUGCCGCCCUGGUCUGUGAAUGGUGAUUUGCUCUUUUGGCAUCUAUGUUGAAGCUAGUAGCCAAAAGAAUGGAGGCUUUAUGCUUGGUAGCAGUUUUGAGUAGUAUUGAAAAUUUUAGAAAUGGACAAAGAUAAACACAUACACACACAUCGUGUAGGUGCAAACCUAAGAAGAAGAAUGAAGUUCCUCUAGCAAGUAUCUUAGCCAAAUAAGUCCACAGAAGAAUGAGCCAUAGCUGUGUAGCCUUAUUUGGUACUUGGUCUUGCAACAAGGGCCUUCUUCUUAAUCUUCCAUGAUAAAGAUAGUUGUAGAGAUAUCUAUCAAUAUCUUGAGGGUGGCAGUGAGUGUUAUACAAUUGAUGACUAUUUAGGUUGAUCUGAUGUAUUUGAGAAGUAUGUCGUAAAUAAAAGUAAUAUGCUAUGUUUACAACUAAUGGGAAAUUUUGAAGUUCAGUGAUGUAAUGAGGUCGGAAAUUUCCAUGUCAAGAUAACCAUGUAGCAUUUCCAACUUUUUCUAUAACGUAUCAGCAACUAGGGCUGUUAUUCUUUUAUUUUAGUCAUAACCUUGGUGUUUGUUAUGGUCAUUGUAAUGUCAUUGCAAAGGCCGAUGCAUAAUUUGGCUCCUUUUAGAGUUUCUGAUUGUACCGGAUGCACAUCUGCCUUUGGAACCUCGAGUCAAAAUGAAAUGUUAUGAUCUUUUCUUGCCCUAGAUUAUUGAAACCUGUCCGGAUAACAUGAUUAACACCUACUUUUUAGAUGCUUUAAGCUUGAACAUGCUUUAUUGUUCUUUCAUAAAACCGCAAAUUUGUUGCUCAUGUCUCAGCAAUAGAUAUGAAAAAAUUUGGGACUUGUUUAUGUGUAAUUUCUUUUUCCUUUGAAAACCGUAAGUAUAACUCUUAAAAUUGCUUCUGUACCUCUAUGUUUGAAUCAUUGAAAUUGCAUUUGCUAAUUUUUGAACUCAUUGAUAUUCUCUUCAGUGGCUCUCUAAAAACAUUGGUAAGAAGGUGGAUAAGUCAGCUCUCUCUAAUGGAUCUGCAAUGACAGGUACACCGUUUCUUGUUCCAGGUUACUAUUAAUACUCAUUGGGCUAAUUUUUGUUUUUAUUUGUGCAGAUAAGAGUACAUCAGCACCAUCAGGUGUUCCGACUGCUUCUCUUAAAGUCCUUCGUCCAGAUACAUCUCAGAUGGUGAUUUAUGAUCCAAGGCAGCAUCAUGGUACAAGCUUUUGCUUGAGUAAAAAUAUAUGCCUGUGAUUUUUUCAAUGGUAUUCUAUUUUUUUAGCAACUUCAUUGGGCCACGAAUGGAUGGAGUAUCUCAUUUUGUCAUCUUGUUUAAUUAUGGUGUUGACUUGUUCAUAUACAUUGGUCAUUAGCAGUAUUGAACUUGAAACUAAAGAUAUCCUUUGCGUAGACUUAUGCAGUCAUUUAUGCAUGAAAUAGGCAUAUGAUUCUGUAGAAAAAUUAGACCUCAUUGCCUCAAUAAUCGUGUGGUUGUUUCCAAUAGUUUUUUAGUUUCCUUUGCUACUUUAGGUUGUUGUCUUUGUUUUAAUUAAAGUCUUAUCUAUUUGCUUUGGUCAUUAGCGAGAUUGCAAUAGAAGCUUUCAAGAAGUCCUUUUUAGAGAAUUAUGUGGUCAUCUGUGUAUGAAUAUUCAAGCACUGCUUUGAUGUGAUUAACAAAUUUACUCUUCUGAUUCUUUCUAGUGAACAUCUGAUGUAAUUUGACUUGGAAAUGAAAUUAACCAAAACUAUUGUUAUUCAUGUAAGUGAUACGGGAAAUGAGAGCAAUUAAAAUGCUCCGUAGGUUUUGUUUGUCUGAUCGAGCUCUUCAUUCUUAGGUGAGGUCAUAUGGCUGAUUCUGGGAUUUAUCUUAUUAGAUGGUCUUUGAUGCACACUGGUGAAUACGAAGGAUUAUGAGAUGUGCAUGCGCCCGAGUAAUUUAUAAAUCAAGCCUAAAUCAUUGAUCUAUAAAUAGCAAAGCAGUUUUACUUAAAACUGUCAUAUAUGUCCAGGAAUAUGCCCAUUCAUCUUUGUAUAACUACCGUCGUGAAUCUUGGAAAUGGCAAACCAAAUAUGAGUAUUAAGAGAAAAGAAAUAUAAAAUGUAUUAGAAUGGUAAACGAUAAAGAGAAAAGCUCAAGUUAGCCAAAGGGCCAGGCAUUGAAAAGGAAAAGGAACCAUAGAGAUUCUCCAAUUUUCAAAGUCAAGGGUGUUGGCUUAGAACGGGUCAAACAUAAACAUGCAUCUCCUAUGCUACUAUUAUGCGUUUAGAAGUGGUGACCCCUAACUAGCUUAUAACUUUGUUGAAAACAGUAUUGUAUUAACUUCAAGAGAAAUGAUGCUGGGUGAUCGUGUGGUGCAGUGUAGUUAUAUUUCCGUUUUCAAUAUAUUAACUUCAAUAGAAACGGUGCUGGUUGAUCAUGUGAUGCGGUGCAGUUAUACUCCUUGGUGUAACUUUUAAGGAAUUAUAGCUGUUAGGAUUUUACGUUGUUUCUUUUUUCCAUUCCCUUUUUGUGUAAUUUCCUCAUCGAGAUAGAAGAGGGAAGGUUUUGAGAGAGGCUGGGGUCGGAUGUUUAAAAUCUAUAUCUGAUAUGUACAAUGAAUUAUUUUAUUUUGCUGUUCUUUUGGGCUUGAUAAUGGCUUUAAAGGUCACCAGCUUUUAGCAGUUCUGCUCAUUUACCUUCCGGCAAUUGACAUGACUUAGAGUGGCAAAUGUUAUGCUUUUACCUCUUAUAACAUUGAAUUGUAUGCUUGUUGAAUCAUAUUGAAAUGCUAGAUACUUAACUGACUAAACUUGUUUGAAUGUAGGAACUACAGUUCCAUCAAACACCACUACUGCAAUUCUUGCUGCUCCCAAUUUGUCGAAUCCCAUGGCUACAGUUGUUGGUGCUGCUUCAAACCCAUUAACCUAUAAUUUGUAGUUGAAUUUGAAUUAUGAUCCAAAAUGCAACAUAUCAAUGAUGAAAUACGGCGAUGCAUCUGCUUGAAUUUCUCUGUCUAGUUGGCCUUUUAAGUCCCUUCUGAUUUGGUAUCCUUGGAAAAUUAUUUGUUUUGCACUCUUGGCAUUUUAAUAUCAUAUUAGAAUAACUAGUUUAUAACUUUGGAGUAAUGAUUCAUUGUAAUUUUACCCAUUUUUAUAUAUUUCUUUAAUUUUUUAAUUCAUCACAAGGUUCAUGCCAUAGGGGCAAAGCUAAAAUCAAAAAAUAAAAAAGAACCUCAUUGAGGAAGAAAAUUCAGAGAAUAAGGUAAGAAAACCAAAAAAUAUAGCAACUGAGAGAAUAUACAGAGCUAUGUUUCUCCGACUCUUCAUUUUGCUUGAAGUAUCCCUUUUUUAUACCCCUGUCAGAGUAUUCAUUUUUCUUAAAGUAUUUGGUUUCAACACCCAUGCCCGACGAUGAAAGAACCUCUUUGAGAAAGUUAUACAAUAGAUUUAUUAUAUAAAUUAUUUUAAAUUAUAUAAAUUCAUAUAAGAAAAUUUAUUAUCAAUAAUUUUAUGAAAUUAUAUCUUAUUAAAUUAUAUGUAAUAAUAAUUAUUUUAAAUUAUACAAAUUCAUAUAAGAUAAUUUAUUAGUUAUAAUUAUUUUAAAUUUUAUUAAAUCAUAUAUUUUAAUUAAAAUAUAUUUAAUAUUAAUCAUUUCAAAUUAUCUUUUAUAGUAUCAUAUAUUAUGAUUUGAGUAAAUUCAUAUAAGAAUAUUAAUUAUUAAGAAUUUUAUUAAAUUAUAUAUUUUAAUUAUAAUAUAUUUAAUAUAUUUAAUAAUAAUUAUGUUUAAAUAUGAUUAAAUUAUUUAUUUUUGAUAAUAAAUAAUCUUAUUAAAAUUUAAAUAACAAUAACAAUAAUCAUUUACCAAAACAAAUUUAUGCUAAGGGUAUUCUGGUCAUUUUAGUUUUCUCCAUUAUGCUAUUACACCUCUAUUACAUUCAACCAAACACAGUUUUACUAUUACGCCUCUAUUUCAUUACAUUCAACCAAACAGUUGAUUUGCUAUUACACCUCUAUUCCAUUACACCUCUAAUCCAAUACAGCGAACCAAACGUGCCCUUAAUCUUUUAGACUUAUAAAGCAUAAUCUUGGAUGUAAGCAGCCAUGUGUCGUGCAUGAUUGGGCUUCAGUUUUCACUAAGCCCAUGACAUUCAACACAUUGGUAUUGCUCUCACUCACAUUCAUUAUUUUUCAUAUGUAUUAUUUCCCCAUAUAAGUUUAAUCCACCCAUAAAUCAUAUGUUUUAAAAGUAUUGAUUAGUAAUUUGAAAAUUAAUAGAUGAAAAGAUAUUGGAUAGGAUCUCAAUCCUUGAUCCAUUGGUCUUGCCACUAUUAGAUCUAAUUGAAGUUGUAGUAGCGUAAAAAUUAACCAAGGAAACCAGUUAGGGUGAAGUCAAAGAAUAUCUUUCUGGGGACUUAUAUGACAAUUUUUCAUUUAACUAGGGGUCAAGGUCCUGUCUCCUUUGGCUAUGCUCUUCAGACCAAUUAGAGAUCCGUGCUAUUCUUCUAGCUACGCCCCUGAAAUCAAUCAAAGAUUUGUGAUAGUAAGAUUAGGUUCGACAUUUUUUAUUAAAUGAUAUAAUUGUAAUUUUAAUCCCUUUCAAAUUUUAAUAAUUUGAUUUACUCUUUUUUAUUUUUUGUUAAAUGUUUUUUUUCAUUUUUAGCUGCUUUCAAAUAUUAAAAAUUUUGUUUAAGUUAAUUUAAUAAAAAAAUUAACUUCAAUUUCAUUUUUUUUAUUUUAUUUCAAUUUCGUCUAGAGGUAUUCAUGAGUCAGAUUCAGAUUGAGCCCGAUUAUGAUAUUAACACACUUUAUGUUUACCCAAACUUGACUCAACUCAAAAUACAGGCUUUAAAUUUUGCCUAAGUCCACUCAUUUUAUUUUUAAAAAAUUAAAACAUAUAUUUAUUAUUUAUAUAUAUAUAUAUAUUAUAUCUCAACAUUCUUUUAUUGCAUAUUAUAAAUUUAAUUUUUUAUGUGUUAUGAAUUAUAUAAUAUAAGACAUUACAAACAUAAAAAAAGAUGAAAUUAAAUCUUUAAAUAUUCAAAUCCAAGUCCAAUUUAUAUUUUAAAUAAACUUAAUUUUUUUGUCCAAACAUAUUUUAUAAACCUAAUAAUUUCAUCGAAACAUUUCAAUUUUCCAAAACACCUUCAAAUUGAGAUGAAUAGAUUCGACAGAGUGGUAGAGAUCAGACAAGUAAAUCAUGAAGAUCACGUUUGUUUCAACAAUGUCUGCAUGCAGAGAAAGAGAGUCGGUUGUUUUAAUUAGAAGGACAAGACGUCAAUACCCCUCCUAUGUCUCCUCUACCUUUGCCAAAUUAGAUUUUUCACUCUGCACCUACAUUCAUAUAUGUCUCUCUCAAUUAUACUAAAACAUGCGUGUCUUAAUUUCUUAAAUAAGCAAUGUUUUUACCCUUUAUGUCCUAUAGUUUUAUUUGUAUCAUGUUACUAUCAUAGAGUUUUACUUUCUAAUUGCACUAAUAUUAACAUGUAUUUAUGAUCAUUGCAUGCAAUUAGGGGAGAAUUUAGAGGUUGAUAGGUUCCGGUACCUCUAAAAAAAAAAUUUCUAUUUUAGCAUGUUAAAAUUUUUGAAUUAAUAAAGAUAAAAUUGUACUUUAGUCAUCUAAAAAUGAUAAAAUUUUGAUUUAAUCAUUUAAAAAUUAUAUUUUAACUAUUGUAAAAUUAUAAUUUAAUUUCGAUCCCCUAAAAAAUUUUUUAACUUCGCCGCUGCAUGCAACAUAAUUUUAUUAUUUCUAAAUUUACUUUUGAUAUCAUCUAAAAAUUUAUUUAUCAGACAACACGUUUCAAAAAUUUAACUCAGAUUCCUUUUAAUAUUUUUUGUCUUCAUAUACCUCUUUUAAUCUUAAACUUAUUAUUGUAAGAACUUUCACUUUCUCCACCGAACAAACAACAUAAAAAAUCAUAAAUUCGGAAAAAAAAAAUAAAAAUUAAUACCUAAAAAAAAAAACACUAAGACUAUCUUUAGGUUUCUUCUCAAUAUGCUCUCCCAAACUUUUACUACUAGUUGAACUUGAAACAACACAACUCCAUAAUAAAAGUUUAAAGUAGAAAUAAAAUCAUUUUGGUUGUAGAAUCAUAAGAAGAACUAAUACUAUGAAGGAAUAUUGAUGAAUAAGAAGAAGAUCCUCUCAGUAAUUUUCCACAGAUUUUUUGAACUGUGUUUGAUUUCAGUACUGUUGCAUGGUGAAAGGCUUUAGCUUUUUUUCUUGAUACAGUUCAAGAAAGCUGUGGAAAACCACAAAGAGAACCAUAGCUGCUGCAUGCAAGCAUCUGAUCACCUAACCAUAUCUCAGAUUGAGAAGAAUUUGGUAGAUGAAAGGCAAGAGAAGAGAAGAGAAGAGAAGAAGUGCAAGUGGGAGAAAUGAAAAAGCAGAGGGCUAACCGAGUAGUAUUAUUGUGAUGUGAAAACUGAAUAUAUACACACACAUAUAUACAUAAAGAGAACCCUUCAUUUUCAAAGGCUAUUCCAUUUGUAUUAUACUUACAGUUACGUAUGAGAUGUAACAUUAAUGGCUUUACCUUUUGGAGCUUAAAAUUGUAAAAUGAUGUGAUCUUUAAGUAAUUUUCUUGAUGUGUUACUGAUUUUAUAUUAGAUAUGUUUACACUAUAUCAAAUUUAAAUUUGUUCUAAUUUUGUCAAUGAGAAAUGAAAUGGUAUGCCCUUGGGUCCUCAAUGGCUCAGGUAUAGGGGCAAAAUCAGAAAAUUUUUUAAGGGACAAAAUUAAAAUUAUAAUCUUUACGAUAAUAAAAAUGUAAUUUUACUAUUUUAAUAGUCUCUAUGUUUAAAAUUUUUAAAGGAUUAAAUUAAAUUUUUAUCAUUUUUAGAAGACGACAAAGUAUAAUUUUACCUUUACUAAUUUAAAUUUUUAAAAAUUUCAAAUGGCCUAAAUGGCAAAAGAAUUCAUUUUAGGGGGUCGGGCCCCUGCCAACCCCUCGGUUUUGCCCCUACUAAUGUUCUAAUCUUACAAUCUUAGCUUCUUUCCAAGAUUUAUUUUGGGUUUUAUUAAUAGGUGCAAUGGUAAAGAACAUUGUAUUUUCAAGGGGAAAAUUUAAGUUCAAACCCUAGAAAAAAGGUGAAUACAAGGGGUAUGUAGGGUCCUUGACCCCAAAAAUGGAAAAUUGAAGUUCUAGUCCCUUAUAAAUGAUUAUAUUAUAAAUUAAUAUAAGGUAAAAUUGUACUUCUCCCCAAAAAAUGAAAAAAAAAUUCUAUUUAGUCCCUUCAAAAAUAAUGAAAUCAUAAAUUAAUAUUUUGACAUCUCAAAAUUUUAUAAUUCAAAUUUGGCCUCCCUAAAUUUUUUUUGAAAAUGACGUUGUUGGAAAGAACAACCAUGAACUCGGAAAUGAUUAGUCUUCAUAGACCGUAAGACAAAUAUGAAGGAUACAUUAAUUAUAUAAAAAAUAUAUUAGGAUUUAUCGGCUAUGACUCAUUAAUAAAUGUUUGGGAUAAAUGUCAAAAGCUAUACAUGAACUUUGACUUAAUGUAUAAUUUUAUACAUGAAAUCUUAAUUUAAUCAAAAUCUCACAAAGUAUUAACACAAUUAAUGAUAUAGCAUUAUUUUAUAUUUAUAUAUUGCAUACACAAAUAAUUAUAUUUAUCCAAUAUAAAAAUAAAUCAAUGUAUUUAUUUAAAUGUGUAUGAUUAAAUCAAAAUUGUAUCAAAUCAAAGUUCAUGUAUCAAAUAGCACAUUGAAUAAAAAUUUAUGUAUAAUUUUGAAAUUUAUCUCUAAAUAUUUUCUCUUACUUUUUUUUAAUGUCCCAUCGAAUUUGGUAACUAUCAAGAUUUGUUAUGAUCUAGUUUUGGUUAUAUUUUGGUAUUGUGCUCUUUUUUCUUUUUUUUUACAGUGACGAUUUGAAUUCGAAUCCAAACUAUUCAUAGGGUAAAUGAACACCCGAUUAAUAGGUCAAACUUUGAGCUCAAUCUAAUUGUGUCUUGGGUCGAUUUGAUUCUAAUUAUAGUUUAUUCCAACAUGUAUGAUUUGUUAUUGUACCUAUACAUAUACUUAUGAUUGUCCUUGUAAACUAAAAAACAAAAGAGUCUAAUUUUGUUAUUGUAUAUAUUGAACUUAUAAUUAAUCAUGUCAAAUCAUUUACUCUAUACAUAUAUAUUAAACUUCUGACUAAAGGUGGAUUUGGAUGGGUGAUAGGAUGCAAUAUAGUGUGUUUAAAUUUUUUUAUCUCACGCUACAUUAUCUAAUUUUACUGUUACUGCUAUUUUUAUAUUAACCACAAGUAAACGCAUUUUCUAUCAAAAUCCACCCUAAAUUAAUAUCACAAAUCAAUUGAAUGCUGACUCAAAAUAGAUGAACAAAAACUUAAUCAUAAUACACAAUAAAAUUUAACCAUUUAACAUGCUGAAAGGGCGUGCGUUGCGGUUUGCAUCAGAAGGUCCCUCGGGCGUUUCGCAAAUGAAAAGGAUGGUACGUGUGGGCAGAUGGGUGGGGAAAAUAUACAUAUGUAUAACUGCUCUGAGCCCAUGACGUAGUACUUCAUGUGGACUUGUUGUCACCUCUCAUAACCCAUUUAUCAAACCAUCAAACCCUUCUUCACCUUUCGGCCAUACUUUUUGCUUUCUAAUUUUUAUUAUACUACCAUAUUAUUAUGUCAUCAAAACAAAACAUCUAGCAAAUGUCAAGAAACUUUUUUAUAUCCUUAUCUAUAACAAUUUCCAUAAGUAUCUAUAAUAUAAUUAUAUUUCUAUAAGUGUUUGAUAAACCAUUGGAUUUCUUUUAUUUCAUUAAAAAUUUAAAUUUUUAAUAUUUUAUUUUUUAAAUGUGUUUAAUAAUCAUUUUAAAAUUUUCAACAAAAAAAUAUUAAAUAAAAUAAGUAGGUAAGUUAACUGCUUAUCACUUAUAUCUCAUCUAAUUACUUAGUAAUAACAUAAGGAAAAGCUUAUUUAUUACAUGAGUAUUAAAUUGGCUCCUUAAUACAUAAUGAAUAGUUAUCACAAUGUUCGAUAGACAUUUUAAAUUUAUGUAAUACAUGUAUUUUACCACAUUUGAUUAAAGUUUUUUAACAUAAUAUUAAUGUAUUAAGUUGAUUUUAUUUUAUUAAAAGUUUGAAAUAAAUUAUCUUUUUCUUAAAUGAAAUAUUUAAAUUAAUAUAUUUAUAUUUCAUCCAAAGCUAUUUAAAAUAAUGCAAAAUAUUAUAUCAAUAAGAUUAAAAUUCAAAAAAAAUCAAUAUUUAUUUUUAUCAACCAACAUAAUUACAUUCAAUACUUAUAUUUACUAAUUUACCAAAUAAUUUUAUAAUAUAAAAUCAACACUUAUAAAAUUUAGCAAUAAAAAUUUAGUACUUAAUUUUUCAGCACUUAAAUUUUUUGUUUAUCAAAAACACCCUAAAUUAAAUAUAUAAAUAUCUAUUAAUACACGUUUAAAAGAAGGCUUAAUUGAACCCCAUAUGAUGGCCUGAUGGUAAAAGGUGUUCAUUGCCCUAGGUGUGGCCUGGGUUCAAGUCGUGUUUUUUGUUCAUUUAGAUCAAAUUCGAAUCUUGAAGUCGACUUUGUUGAGAGGAAAUGAUUUUGAGUUUAAGAAAAUAGGAAAUGAAAAAGGUUGUGUAGAUAUUUGCGCAAUUUGGGUAUGGAUCUUUGGAAAGCAUCUAAACGAUUUAUAUAUUAUUUUUAAAAAACAAAAUAUUGCAUGUUCACAUUUUGGCGAUUUGAUAAGUUAGAGAUCAUCUGGUAUAUAACUUUAAUUUUGAUGGAAUAUGAGUGCAAAUUUUUUUCACUAGGGUGCAAAUUCAGACAGUAAAUGUAGUUGUUUUUAUUUUAAUAACAACUGAAGUAAAUCAAAUUUAAAACACCUAGACUUUAAAUUCUUGGUUGUUAAAAAAGAGUUUAGAGUGGUUAGGUGUCUAUAAAACAUUUUGGGACAAACUCCAUGAUUAUGGAUCCACUUACUAAGGGUCUACUAUUCAAGAUUUUUUUUAUGAGCACACUGCUCAUAUGAGUGUGAUGUCAUUUAGGGAUAUUCGACUUUUAGUGGAAGUUUGUAAUUUAUAUGCUUUUCUAUCAUAGACAAAUUUUUACUUAUUUUAGUUUGCAGAUAUUUUAAGGUUAUUCUCUGCAAAAAUAAAGUUUAUUUGAUAUAUUAACACUCUAAUUUUAGUAAGGUUUGAUCUCACUAAAGUUUAAAGAGGAUCAGUUAAAAAUAGACAUGUUUAGAUCAUAUUACAUAUAAUUUCCAUAUUACACAUCCAUACUUGAUCUAUUUCAUUUGAUUGUGUUAAUAUAUGUGAUCAUAGAUGAAUUUAGUUAUGAUAUAUGUAAUGAAAGUUGCAUUGGAUCUAUGUUAACAUAAUUAAUGGAUGUUCAGAAUACCUUUUGGUUAUGAUAAUAAAUUUUUGAGCUUGUAAGGCUUUAUAAUGACAUGUAAUUAAAAGAUAAUUAUAAUAUAUAUAUGUGUGUGUGUGGGAUUCAAGUGAGAGAUUGUUAGAUAAUAUGGACGUCGCAUGUAUAUUAUAAGAAUAAUUACAUGUUAUUAUUUACUAUCAUAACAAGUUAACCUAAAUUAAAAGUGAUCUAAUAUAGUUGAGGCUUAUUAGGCUUUAGUUAUUAAAUAAAUUAUGGAUCAAAUAUGUGUAGAUACUCUAGUCAUUAAUUUCUCAUUGAUGGUGGGCUGAUUAGAAAUCAAGAUUAAUGUGCAAAAGUAUUAAAUUACGAUUAUGGUCCCCAAAUUAGACAUAUGUAACUUAUCUGACAUCCCAUAUUCAAAAAAAAGAGAGUUACCUUCUCUAUUGAAUGUAUUUAUAUGUUUUACAUUUAGUUAAUUAUAUUCAACCGGUAAAUUUAUAUUGAAAGUUGAAUAAUAAAAAUACUUAACUUAUUUUCUUUUAUAUUAAUAUUAUAAAAAAAUAUAUGUUUUUAUUAUAAAUUUUGGAAAUAUUAUAUUGAUAUGAUUAUUUUGUUAACUUAAGUUGUCUAUUUGUUUAAAAUGGAAAUUACAAUGGAAGUGUUAGAUUGCAGUGACCACUAUGGCUUGGUACUGCGAAAACUGUACAAACAAAAACUCAAAGAACAAGUGAUUCCCUACGUCUACAGAGCCUAGCUCACUGAGUAAUUCCACUAUCUUUUAUCCACAGUAAAACAAGUUAUUCACAUUCUAUUAUUUUUCAAUUACAGAGAUCUCACAAUUAUACCUAAAGACUAGAAUGCUCACCUCCAAAUCCCCCUUGAGAACUUGGGCAGUAAAUACUCUACAAAAUUUACAAUAAUAGUGUGCACUCUCUCACAAGAUAGCUCUACAAUGAAUAUAUUAGAAUGCACCCAAUAAGGUUUCCUAUAAAACUUAUACAAGCCUCCAAAUAUAAAUCAAUUUUGGCUUGCUAAAAUAGAAUCUAAGUGGAUAUAAAGUAACUAUUUGAGAAUAGCUAUUACAUCAAUGACAAUCAAAAUAAAGUCACUCAAAGAUAUAGUCUCCAAAAUCAACAGCACUAUCUCGAUCAUAUCUCCACAUUCCAAGGGCUUAAUUGAUUCAAACGAAUUCAAUCCAAUCUUCAAAUGCCAAAAAUUAGUUUUCAUAUAUGGACCAAAAAAAUCUUCAAUAAAACAACACAUAACCAGGUCCAGCAUUUUCUUCAUUAAAUUGUCAAACUAGAUAAUACAAGUUUUUGACCACUUUAGUGGUAGUUUACGGUUGGCACUGUUGAGUACUACUCAAUAACUUUCAACUCAUUGUGUCUCAACAAUUAUAAUAAUAGAAAUGUCAAUUAUUAAAUUGAAAAAAUUUAGAUUUGACAUAUUAUAUUGAAAUGAUUAUAAUAAAUAGCUACGUUUGACUAACAAACAAAUUAAUUUAUGAAAAACAAUUAUAAUUAACGGUAACAAGAACAAUUUUACUAUAAAAAACAAUAAUAAUAAAAUUAAUUUUAAAAAAUCUUAUAAAUUGUAAUAAACAUAUAAUAAUUAAGUAAUGUUUAAAAUAAAUUAUCUAAUAACAUUGAAAAAGUUUAUCCAAAUUAGAAAUAAAUACUUCAAACGAGAGUGCCGAAUAAAUAAUGUAAAUAUGCUUGAUUAUUUCCAUUUUUAGUUAUGAUAUAUGUCCUAUAUGUGGAACUAGUUUUAGUGAGACAUGUUAGGUAAGUUGUGUCAUUUGUAUCCAAUAAAGGUAAAUUAUUUUAUUAAUUUUAUAAAAAAUUAAAAUAAAAUUUCAUUAUGUAACAUUAAUAUAAUGAAACAAAGGUCCCCAUAUAUAUCACAUGUAUUCGGAAAACCUAUGAUCGACAUGCAUCUCUCCAAACUAUGUAGCCACCACUCAAAUAGCUUCCUUUCAUUGUCAAGUUAAAUGGUCAUAUAACCAUUAAUCCUUGCCUAUUUAAAGUUUUACAAUUACAAGUUGAUUGAAUCUUACCUCGAUUAACAUGAAUAUUAUUAUUAAUAUAAGAGAAUAUGGAUUCGAAUGUACUGAAGCGCAUUAUCAUUCUAUUUAUGAGUUGGGAUGGGAUUAUAAAUAAUCUUAAAUAUUGUAUAAAAAAAACAUAUAUAAUUGUUAAAAAAAAUUACAAUUACAAAACUAAAUAUAUUAGAUACUUUUUUUGUAUAAUGCUAUAAGAAAAGAAUAGAAAAAUGCAAACUAUUGGUAAAAGUAUCAUGAAGACUUUUGUAUUGAAAGUUGGAUUACGUUUUUCUCUCUUUACUCAAAGAAUAAGUAAAUUGAUCUUUUUGUUAAAAAAAUCAUUCAUUUCUAUUGUUAAAAACUGAUUCAUGUAUAUCAGCAUGAGGUAUUCGUGGCAAGUCACAUGUCAUUAUUUGGUUAUUUCGUCAAUUAUGCCAAUUUUUAUAACAGUACAAAUGAAUGAAUUUUUUAACAAAAAGAACCAAUUGACUCUUCGAUAUAAUGUACAAGGAUUAAUUUAUCAAUUUUUUAGUAGAAGGGACAAAAUGCAAUCUGACUCUUAAUAUAAGAACCUCUAUGAUACUUUUAGCGCAAAUUAUUUAUGGUGAGGAGAACAAUUCCAAUUUAUUUAUAAUAAAUUAUUUGUUGCUGGACCUCAACUUAAAAAGCAUGUUACAAGUUGUUUAUGUAGCUUCAAAAGAAGAUAUUAUUUGUAUUUAUACUGAUAUUGAGAUCCUAAUUAGUUUGAUGAUAUAGUCAAUGUCUCCCCCCAAUUUGAUAAUUAAUUAACUGAGUUUUCGCAAACAUGAAAUUCUGCCUCAAGAAAUGAUAAUAAUUAAGCAAAAUCAAACUUGACAUUAAUUGAGAACAAACAACAUUAAUCAAACAUUACAUUAGGCUGAGGUAAUUGAACCGACAUGCCUAGUUAUUGAACUAGAACAAAUAUUACAACGACAAUUGUUGAAUGGCAAAAGAAAAACCCUAAUAUCCAACAUGAAAAACCAACAAGAAACACUAGAAAUGAAAGUAACUUAGACCAAACUUUAGCCAACAACAUGAUAAUAUAUCUUUUUUAUUCACAUUUGAAGCCUGGAGGAACCUCCUUCUGACAUGCACUAAGGAUUAGACUAAGAGAAACUGGGAUGUUGAGGUUGAUUCCAAGUACAUUGGCUUUAAUGGCAGUGCAAAGGCAAAGGGCAGCUUCCAAAUCAGCCAAUCCUUGAAGCAAAGCACAGCAUUUGCUGGAAGGAGGGGUUCCAACAAUCACGUUGACAAGUCCAAGCACGUCAGCACAGACACCGAGCUUCAAUGUGUCCUUAGGGCAAGAAGGUGGAGGGCAUGGUGGAGGUUUGGGUUUGCAUGAAUUGCAAGCAGUGGUGAAUGUUGAGUGGAAAAGAAGAGUGAAGAGCAGAAAGAGGGCACAGAGUUUGUAGGAAGCCAUUGCAGGCAGGCAGGCAGGCAGGC